rnacentral:lncRNA from 1 species
CCUCGUGGACUUCGUGGCCGAGUGGACUUAUGCUCCCGACCACGGAGUAGGCAAGGACUGCUCCCUCUUGCCAGGAGAUGAAGAGCCGGACGGAUGGAUCAUGUACUUCGACGGGGCGUUUGCGCGACAAGGCGCAGGAGCGGGGGCCAUCCUCAUCUCACCCACCAAGGACAAGCUCUGUUACGCAGUGCAACUCUGCUUUCAGUAGGGCGAGAAGGUCUCCAACAACAUCACAUAAUUUGAAGGCUUGCUCGCCGAACUCAGGGACGCUGCCGCGCUAGGAGUGAAGCGCCUCACCAUCAAGGGAGAUUCUUAGCUUCUCGUCAACUUCUCCAACAAGGAGUACACGCCUAAGGACGAGCACAUGGAGGCGUACCUAGAGGAGGUACGCAAGAUGGAGAAGCGGUUCAUGGGCGUGGAGCUGCAACACGUGCCGCAUGGGAUGAACAAGGAAGCAGACGACAUCUCCAAAAGAGCCUCUCGCAGGCUCCCUCAGGAGCCGGGGGUGUUUGAGGAGCGGCUCUUCAAGCCGUCUGUGACACCACACGUCGCGACUCCAGCACCACCUCCGGAGGACUUGCCACAUGCACCUGAGAUAGGGGCCCCAGCCUGUGGUCACCCCUCGGGAGCCUUCCUGCUGCUCGCGCUCAAGCCUAGAGGAGGGGUGCUGGACCGAUGAGUUCAAGGCAUACUUGCUUCAAGGGACCCUGCCAGAGAAGGAGGAGGACGCGAGCAUGUGGCCUGUCAAGCCAUCGCAUACUGCAUCAAGGAUGGUGAGUUAUAUCGCAGGAGGCCCACUGACGUUUCAUUGCAGUGCAUCUCCAGGGGACAGGGGCUCGAGCUGCUAGCGGACAUACAUGGUGGGGACUGCGAGCAUCACUCCUCGCCGCGCACUCUGGUGGGAAAGGCAUUCCGCAGCGGCUUCCACUGGCCCACCACACUCAACGACGCUACAGAGCUGGUGCGCUCUUGUAAAGCAUGCCAGUUUCACUCCAAGCAGAUCCACCAGCCCGCGCAGGGCCUCCAGACGAUCCCGCUCACGUGGCCGUUCGUGGUCUGGGGAUGGACAUCUUGGGACCGUUCCCUCGGGUGCGAGGGGGCUACCGAUACCUCUACGCCACCAAGUGUGCGGUGGUAGAGGCCGUGCGCACCAUCCCAGCUGGAUCGGCCGUCAAGUUCAUCAAGGGAACCGUGAGCCGGUUUGGGGCCCCCCAAUCGCAUCAUUACUGACAACGGCUCGCAGUUCACCUGCAACCUUUUCAAAACAUACCGUGCUAACCUUGGAACGCAGAUCUGCUAUGCCUCAGUAGCGCACCCGCGGAGCAAUGGACAGGCUGAGAGGGCCAAUGCGGAAGUCCUGAGGGGCCUCAAGACCCGGACCUUCAAGAAGAAACUCGAGGCCUACGGCAGGGGCUAGCUCGACGAGCUGCAGUCCGUGAUGCGGUGCAUCCGCACCACUGCGACCAAGCCAAUAGGAGAAAUGCCAUUCUUCCUCGUCUACGGAGCAGAAGCGGUUCUCCCUCAUGAGUUCAAGCAUCACUCCACGCGGGUCCUGGCGUUCGAUGAGAUGCAGCAGGACGCCACACGGGGGAUGGACCUCGUGCUGGAGGAGGAACGCCGCCGUCAAGCCUCACUCUGGGCAGCGAGGUACCAGCAGGCGCUGUGGCAGUACCACUGCCGCAGCAUCCGCUCCAGGACAUUAGAGGUGGGCGACCUCGUCCUGAGGCGGGUGCUCUCUAGGGAGGGGCUGCACAAGCUCUCGCCCACGUGGGAGGGCCCGUUUAGGAUUUCCCGUAUCUCCAGGGCUGGCGUUGCGCGCCCGGAGACACAGGACGGGGUCCCCAUCCAGAAUGCCUGGAACAUCCAGCACCACUGGAAGUUUUACCCCUGAAGAAAGGCUCCGACCUGUGAAGCAAGGCUCCGACCUGUGAAGGUCUCCGCUCGUGACACUCUCACGUAAUAAUGAGUGGGGAUGUACACGCCCCGGAGUCUCCUGAGAGCCGCCCUGGGGCCUCAUGGGGGCUCCCUCCCACGUCCUAGUGGCAACACUUAGUGAUGACCCACAAGUGUAGGGGAUCUAUCAUAGUCCUUUCGAUAAGUAAGAGUGUCGAACCCAACGAGGAGCAGAAGGAAAUGACAAGCGGUUUUCAGUAAGGUUUUCUCUGCAAGCACUGAAAUAAUAGGUGAUAGAUAGUUUUGUGAUAAGAUAAAUAGUAACGGGUAACAUGUAAAUAAAGUAAACAAAGUGCAGCAAGGUGGCCCAAUCCUUUAUGUAGCAAAGGAUAAGCCUGGACAAAUUCUAAUAAUGGUAAAGGAGCUCCCGAGGACACAUUGGGAAUUAUCGUCAAACUAGUUUUCAUCACGUUCAUAUGAUUCGCGUUCGGUACUUUGAUAAUUUGAUAUGUGGGUGGACCGGUACUUGGGUACUGCCCUAAAUUGUACAAGCAUCCCACUUAUGAUUAACCCCUAUUGCAAGCAUCCGCAACUACAAAAGAAGGUAUUAAGGUAAACCUAACCACAACAUUAAGCAUAUGGAUCCAUAUCAACCCCUAAUGAAGCAACGCAUAAACUAGGGUUUAAGCUUCUGUCACUCUAGCAACCCAUCAUCUACUUAUUACUUCCCCAUGCCUCCCUCUAGGCCCAAAUAAUGGUGAAGUGUCAUGUAGUCGACGUUCACAUAACACCACUAGAGGAAAGACAACAUACAUCUCAUCAAAAUAUCAAACGAAUACCAAAUUCACAUGACUACUAAUAGCAAGACUUCACCCAUGUCCCUAGGAACAAACGUAACUACUCACAAAGCAUAUUCAUGUUCAUAAUCAUAGGAUUAAUAAUAUGCAUAAAGGAUCUGAACAUAUGAUCUCCCACCAAGUAAACCAAUUAGCAUCAACUACAAGGAGUAAUCAACACUACUAGCAACCCACAGGUACCAAUUUGUGGUUUUGAUACAAGAUUGGAUACAAGAGAUGAACUAGGGUUUUGAGAGGAGAUGGUGCUGGUGAAGAAUUUGAUGGAGAUUUACCCCCUCUCGAUGAGAGGAUCGUUGGUGAUGACGUUGGUGAUGAUUUCCCCCUCCCGGAGGGAAGUGUCCCCGGCAGAACAGCUCCGCCAGAGCCCUAGAUUGAUUCCGCCAAGGUUCCGCCUCGUGGCAGCGGAGUUUCGUCCCGUAAGCUUGCCCACUAUUUUUUCUAGGGUAAAAGUGAUGAUAUAGCAGAAGAUGGACGCCGGAGGCCCACCAGGGGGCCCAGGAGAUAGGAGGCUGCGCCCUACAGGGGGGCGCGCCCCCUGUCUCCUGGACAGGGUGUGGGCCCCCUGGCCUAUUUCUUUUGCCCAUAAAUUCUUAUUAAAUCCAAAAAGUUGUCUCGUGGAGUUUCAGGACUUUUGGAGUUGUGCAGAAUAGGUUUCCAACGUUUGCUCUUUUUCUAGCCAGAAUUCCAGCUGCCGGCAUUCCCCCUCUUCAUGGUAAACCUUGUAAAAUAAGAGAGAAUAGCCAUAAGUAUUGAGAUAUAAUGUGUAAUAACAGCCCAUAAUGCAAUAAAUAUUGAUAUAAAAGCAUGGUGCAAAAUGGAUGUAUCAAAUCCCCCAAGCUUAGACCUCGCUUGUCCUCAAGCGGAAGCCGAAAUCGAAAAUAUGUCCACAUGUUUAGAGAUAGAGGUGUCGAUAAAAAUAAAAUACAGACAUGAGAGCAUCAUGAUCAUUCUAAUAACAGCAACAUAUAUAGAUUUUGUCACAUGAUUUCCUAUGCUCAAGUAAUAAGCAAUUCACAAUGUCAAGUAUGGUUCAAAAACUUCAUUGGGAACUAACAAACUAUAAUCUCAGUCAUUGAAGCAAUUGCAAUUUAUCGUAACUUCAGAGAGAGUCAAUAAUAGAGUUUUUCAACAAGCUCACAUACUCAACUAUCUCGUAGUCUCCCAUAAUUGUUAACACUCACGAAAUACUUGUGGUUAUAGAGUAUCAGCCGAACACUAAGAAAGAUAGGGGCUUCUUGUGUUGCCUCCCAAUGUAUUCACCUUUAGGUGAUGUCAACAAUAAUAGCCUAUGCCAACUUACAUCCAAUUGGAUAUAUGUAUCAUGAUCUUUCAAACACGAAGAGCUUGCCAAAGGAUAAAGUAAAAAAGGGAAAGGUGAUGAUCACCUUGACUCAAACAUAAAGUAAAACAUAAAGUAAAAGAUAGGCCCUUCGCAGAGGGAAGCAGAGAUUGUCAUGCGCGUUUAGGGUUGAUGCAUAAAAUCUUAGUGCAAAAGAACGUCACGUUAUAUUGCCCCUUGUAUGUGGACCUUUAUUAUGCAGUCUGUCGCUUUUAUUACUUUCACAACAAGUUCGUACAAAGCUUAUUUUCUCCGCACUAAUAAGUCAUACAUAUUUAGAGAGCAAUUUUUAUUGCUUGCACCGAUGACAACUUACUUGAAGGAUCUUACUCAAUCCAAAGGUAGGUAUGGUGGACUCUCAUGGCAAAACUGGGUUUAAGGAUAUUUGGAAGCACAAGUAGUAUCUCUACUUGGUGCAAGGAAUUUUGGCUAGCAUGAGGGGGAAAGGCAAGCUCAACAUGUUUGGAAGGUCAAUGAUAAUAUACAUUAACUGAGAUGUCGGAAAACAUAAACCAUUACAUUGUCUUCCUUGUCCAACAUCAACUCUUUUAGCAUGUCAUACUUAAUGAGUGCUUCACAAUCAUAAAAGAUGUCCAAGAUAAUAUAUUUAUAUGUGAACCCCUCUUUCCUUAUCACUUCCUAUUAAUUGCAACGAUGACCAAGUCUACAUUCAUCAACUCUCAACAAUUUUUAUGCCUCAUACUUUCUGUGUGUGAAGUUAUCACUAUCCAUAAGAUCAAUAUGAACUCUUUUGUUCUUUCUACUUUCUCAAGAUCAUAGCAGCAUAGCAAAGCCCUUGACUCAACACUAAUCUUUAUUAUAGAUAGCACACGGACUCGAUUACAUAAAGAGAUCAAAAUGCAAAACUCAAAACUACCUGAUAUCAAAACUUUAAACUACUAGAUCAAGAUACUACUAAAAGGAUCGAACUAAAUAAAGCGGUAAAGAUAGGAGUGUGAUGGUGAUACGAUACCGGGGCACCUCCCCCAAGCUUGGCCGUUGCCAAGGGGAGUGCCCAUACCCAUGUGAUUACUUCCUCGGAGGUGAUGGAGGUGGUGAUGAUGAUGGUGGAUAAUCGCACAUCAAGUGUAAAAGCUCCUCCAACUUGCGGAUGAUGCCCUUGAGCCCAGCAAUAUGAUCCUUCAACAAAAUAUUCUCCUGUGUGAGAUACUUGUUCUGUAUGCGAGCUAACUCAAUCAUCUUGAAAGCUUCAAUCUCUGUUGGAGUAAAGAGGUUAGGUAAAGGUUGAGGGAUAUCUUCUUCUUUCACCGCCGGAGGUUGGACCUCCAUGCCUUUCUUGAUCCCUUCAUCCUUGUUGAUCUCUUCUGGUUCUUCUCUUUUCAGUUCUAUCUUCAAAAGUCAAGCAUCCUUGUCUUCAUUGUUGGAGGAGGGUGAAGUCAUGGUGCUCUAAAUCUGCAAUAGAAACAGCUCGAAAUGAAAACAGAGGAUAUUUGCGUGAUACGGUGGUCAAAACCUUCGGGGGUAUAUAUAAUGAAUUUUUACCGACCAAAAUACGUAACAUACAAGAAAACGGAGUCCGGGAGGCACACGAGGUGCCCACGAGAUAGGGGGGCGUGCCCUACGAGGGGGGCCUCCUCUCUCGUGGGAGCCUCAUGUCCCUUUCGGACUACUUCUUUCUUCCUAAAAUUCUUAAACAAUCCAAAACUGAUAAAAAUUGGCAUUAGAGUUGUUUUGGAGUCGGUUUACUUACCGUACCACGUACCUAUGGCUUUUCGGAGUCUGGAACGUUCUGGAAAGUGUCUCCUAUGUAUUCCUCAGGGGUUAUGGUUUCAAUAAUAUUAGUUUCAACAUUGAUAGGAUUACCUGAAAUAUAAUGUUUAAUUCUUUGACCAUUUACCACCCUCGGAUUUGUGCCUUCGAAGUUGUUGAUUUUUAUAGCACCAGAAUGAUAGACCUCCUCGAUAACGUAGGGACCUUCCCAUUUUGAGAGAAGUUUUCCUGCAAAAAAUAUUAAAUGAGAGUUGAAUAAUAACACAUAAUCUCCUACGUUAAACUCACGCUUUUGUAUUCUCUUAUCAUGCCAGUGUUUGACUCUUUCUUUGAAGAGCUUGGCAUUCUCAUAGGCUUUGGCUCUCCAUUCAUCAAGUGAGCUAAUGUCAAAUAACCUUUUCUCACCGGCAAGUUUGAAGUCAUAAUUGAGCUCUUUAAUAGACCAAUAUGCCUUAUGUUCAAGUUCAAGAGGUAAAUGACAUGCUUUUCCAUAAACCAUUUUAUAAGGAGACAUACCCAUAGGAUUUUUCUAUGCAGUUCUAUAGGCCCAUAAUGCAUCAUCAAGUUUUUUGGACCAAUUCUUUCUAGAUCUAUUCACAGUCUUUUGCAAAAUUAAUUUGAACUCUCUAUUGCUCAACUCUACUUGACCACUAGACUGCGGAUGAUAAGGAGAUGCUAUUCUAUGAUUGACAUCAUACUUAGCAAGCAUCUUACGGAAAGCACCAUGAAUAAAGUGUGAACCACCAUCAGUCAUAAGAUAUCUAGGGACUCCAAACCUCGGAAAAAUAACUUCUUUAAGCAUUUUAAUAGAAGUGUUAUGAUCAGCACUACUAGUUGGAAUAGCUUCUACCCACUUAGUAACGUAAUCAACAGCAACUAAAAUAUGUGUAUAACCAUUGGAGGCAGGAAAAGGUACCAUAUAAUCAAAGACCCAAACAUCAAACAGUUCAAUAACAAGAGAGUAAUUCAUAGGCAUUUCUUGACGUCUACUAAUGUUACCUAUUCUUUGACAUUCAUCACAAGAUAAGACAAACUUACGAGCAUCUUUGAAGAGAGUAGGCCAAUAAAAACCAGAUUGUAGUACCUUGUGUGCAGUUCUAUCUCCAGCGUGGUGUCCUCCAUAGGAUUCAGAGUGACACUUGUGUAGGAUCUGUUCCUGUUCAUGCUCAGGCACACAACGUCUAAUAACACCAUCUACUUCUUCUUUAUAAAGAUGUGGGUCAUCCCAGAAAUAAUGUCUUAAAUCAUAAAAGAACUUUUUCUUUUGCUGGUAUGUGAAACUAGGCGGUAUAUAUUUAGCAACAAUGUAAUUAGCAUAGUCAGCAUACCAAGGAGGAGUACGAGAAGCAUUGACGACCGCUAAUUGUUCAUCAGGAAAGCUAUCAUUAAUAGGCAGUGGGUCAUCAAGAACAUUCUCUAACCUAGACAAGUUGUCUGCAAUAGGGUUCUCAGCUCCCUUUCUAUCAAUAAUAUGCAAGUCAAAUUCUUGGAGCAAGAGAACCCAUCUAAUGAGUCUAGGCUUAGCAUCCUUCUUUUCCAUAAGAUAUUUAAUAUCAGCAUGAUCAGUGUGAAUAGUAACUUUGGAAUCAACAAUAUAAGGUCUAAACUUAUCACAUGCAAACACGACUGCUAAGAACUCUUUUUUAGUAGUAGCAUAAUUCCUCUGGGCAGUAUCAAGAGUCUUACUAGCAUACUAGAUAACAUUCAAUUUCUUAUCGACUCUUUGCCCUAAAACAGCACCUACAGCAUAAUCACUAGCAUCACACAUAAUUUCAAAAGGUAAAUUCCAAUCAGGUGGCUGAACAAUAGGUGCAGUGAUCAAAGCUUUCUUAAGUGUUUCAAAUGCUUCUACACAAUCAUCAUCAAAGACAAAAGGAAUAUCUUUUGGCAAUAAAUUAGUCAGAGGCCUAGAGAUUUUAGAAAAGUCCUUAAUGAACCUCCUAUAAAAACUGGCGUGACCAAGGAAACUUCUUAUACCUUUUAUGUCCUUGGGACAUGGCAUCUUUUCAAUAGCAUCAACUUUGGCUUUAUCAACUUCAAUACCUCUCUCGGAGAUCUUGUGCCCCAAGACAAUGCCUUCAUUAACCAUAAAGUGACACUUUUCCCAAUUCAGGACUAGACUAGUGUCUUCACAUCUCUGCAAAACUCGAUCAAGGUUGCUCAAACAAUCAUCAAAAGAGGAUCCAUAGACGGAGAAGUCAUCCAUGAAUACCUCACAUAUCUUUUCACAAAAAUCAGAAAAUAUAGCCAUCAUGCAUCUUUGAAAGGUAGCAGGUGCAUUACAUAAACCAAAAGGCAUACAUCUAUAAGCAAAGGUACCAAAAGGGCAAGUAAAAGUAGUUUUAGAUUGAUCCUUUGCUAACAUAGGUAUUUGAGAGAAACCAGAAUAACCAUCUAGAAAGCAAAAGUGUGUGUGCUUGGAUAGCCUUUCUAGCAUUUGAUCAAUAAAAGGUAAAGGGUAAUGAUCUUUCUUAGUAGCUUUAUUUAACUUACGGAAAUCAAUUACCAUCCUAUAACCUGUAAUAAUUCUUUGCGGGAUCAAUUCAUCUUUAUCAUUAAGCACAACAGUAAUACCUCCCUUUUUAGGGACACAAUGGACAGGGCUUACCCAUUCACUAUCAGCAACGGGAUAAAUAAUACCUGCCUCAAGGAGCUUUAGUAUCUCCUUUCUUACCACUUCCUUCAUCUUGGGAUUUAAUCGUCUUUGAGGAUCUCUAUCUGGUUUGGCAUCUUUCUCCACUAAAAUUUUGUGUUAACAUAAUGUGGGACUAAUGCCCUUAAGAUUGUCCAGAGUAUAUCCAAUAGCAGCUCUGUGCUUCUUCAGAGUUUUCAAUAAUCUUUCUUCUUCUUUCUCUGAAAGGUUAGCACUAAUAAUAACAUGAUAUAUUUCUUUUUCAUCAAGAUAAGCAUACUUGAGAUUAUCAGGUAAAGGUUUGAGUUCAAACACGGGAUCACCAUUGGGUGGAGGGGGAUCCCCAAGAAUUUCAACGGGAAGGUUAUGUUUCAGCAUAGGUUCCUGUUUAAGGAACAGUUCAUCUAUUUCUUCCCUUUCCUUCAUAAACAUAUCGUUUUCAUGGUCUAGCAAAUAUUGUUCUAACGGAUCAGUUGGAGGAACGGCAAUGGAAGCAAGACCAAUAAUUUCAUCCUUACUAGGUGGUUCCCUUUCACGAGGUUGUCUACUAAACUUAGCAAAAUUGAACUCAUGAGACAUACCAUCUAUGCCAACAGUGACGACCUUCCUUUCACAAUUAAUCUUAGCACUAGCAGUAUUCAAGAAGGGUCUACCAAAAAUAAUGGGACAAAAAUCAUCUUGUGGGGAAGCAAGAACAAGAAAAUCAGCAGGGUAUUUAAUCUUCCCGCACAAGACUGCAACAUCUCUAACAAUCCCAAUAGGUUUAAUGGUGUCCCUAUUAGCAAGCUUAAUAGUAACAUCAAUGUCUUCUAAUUUCAUAGGUGCAAUAUCGUGCAUAAUUUCUUUAUAAAGAUCAUAAGGUAUCGCACUAGCACUAGCACUAGCACCCAUAUCACAUAAGCCAUGAUAACAAUGAUCUCCUAUUUUAACAGAAAUAAUAGGCGUGCCUACAACAGGUCUACGUGUUUUAGUAUCGGUCUAGCAAUAUUAGCAGUUUCACCCAAGAAAGAGAUAACAUGCCCAUCUAAGUCCUCAUCCAAGAGAUCUUUAAUCAUAGCAAUACCAGGUUCAACAUUAAUUUGCUCAGGAGGUGUAUAGGUCCUAGUAUUACUCUUACGAACAACAGUCAAAGCUUUAGCAUGAUCUUUUAUCCUAACAGGAAAAGGAGGUUUUUCAACAUAAGAAGUAGGAAUAAUAGGAUCACUAUAUGUAAUAGUCUUUUCUUCGACUGUAAUAGGUGCAACUACUUUCACUUCAACAGGAGGAUUAUAUUUAAACCACUUCUCUUUAGGGAGAUCAACGUGAGUAGCAAAAGUGUCACAAAAAGUAGCUACUAUCUCAAAGUCAAGUCCAUAGUUAGAGCUAAAUCCACGGAAAGCAUCGGUAUCCAUAAAAGAUUUAACACAAUCAAACUUAGGUGUCAUACCUGACUCCUUACCAUCGUCGGAACCCCAAUCUUCAGAGUUGUGUUUAAUUCUUUCCAAUAAGUCCCAUUCGAAAUCAAUAGUCUUCAGCAUAUAGGAACCAGCACAGGAAGUAUCGAGCAGGUUGCGAUUAUCAAGAGAAAGCCGAGCAUAAAAAUUCUGAAUAAUCAUUUCCCGAGAGAGCUCAUGAUUGGGGCAUGAAUAUAACAUUGACUUAAGCCUCCCCCAAGCUUGAGCGAUGCUUUCUCCUUCGCGAGGCCAGAAAUUAUAUAUGUAAUUACGAUCACGAUGAACAAGAUGCAUAGGAUAGAACUUCUGGUGAAAUUCCAACUUCAGUCGCUUAUAAUUCCAAGAUCUCGUAUCAUCACAUAGCCUAUACCAUGUCAUUGCAUCUCCCUUCAAAGAUAAAUGGAAGACCUUCCUUUUGACAACAUCAUCGGGAAUACCUUCAAGCUAAAUAAUCCACAAACUUCAUCCACAAAGAUAAGGUGUAAAUCGGGAUGCAAUGUUCCGUCUCCUGCAAAAGGAUUAGCUAGCAGUUUUUCUAUCAUACCCGAAGGAAUCUCAAAGUGAAUAUUUUCAUAAAGUUCAGUAGGUUGAGGAGCAUCUCUUUGCUCUUCUGGUUGGGGUGAAGAUACCCCAAACAAGCCCCUCAAAGGAUUAGUUUCCAUAGUGACAAGUAACAGAAAAUUUCAGCACACUAUAUAAAUGUUUCCUUACCAAGUUCCACUCACCAAAAGCGCUACACUCCCCGGCAACGGCGCCAGAAAAGAGUCUUGAUGACCCACAAGUGUAGGGGAUCUAUCAUAGUCCUUUCGAUAAGUAAGAGUGUCGAACCCAACGAGGAGCAGAAGGAAAUGACAAGCGGUUUUCAGUAAGGUUUUCUCUGCAAGCACUGAAAUAAUAGGUGAUAGAUAGUUUUGUGAUAAGAUAAAUAGUAACGGGUAACAAGUAAAUAAAGUAAACAAAGUGCAUCAAGGUGGCCCAAUCCUUUAUGUAUCAAAGGAUAAGCCUGGACAAAUUCUAAUAAUGGUAAAGGAGCUCCCGAGGACACAUUGGGAAUUAUCGUCAAGCUAGUUUUCAUCACGUUCAUAGGAUUCGCGUUCGGUACUUUGAUAAUUUCAUAUGUGGGUGGACCGGUACUUGGGUACUGCCCUAACUUGGACAAGCAUCCCACUUAUUAUUAACCCCUAUUGCAAGCAUCCACAACUACAAAAGAAGGUAUUAAGGUAAACCUAACCACAACAUUAAGCAUAUGGAUCCAUAUCAACCCCUAAUGAAGCAACGCAUAAACUAGGGUUUAAACUUCUGUCACUCUAGCAACCCAUCAUCUAAUUAUUACUUCCCCAUGCCUCCCUCUAGGCCCAAAUAAUGGUGAAGUGUCAUGUAGUCGACGUUCACAUAACACCACUAGAGGAAAGACAACAUACAUCUCAUCAAAAUAUCGAACGAACACCAAAUUCACAUGACUACUAAUAGCAAGACUUCACCCAUGCCCUCAGGAACAAACGUAACUACUCACAAAGCAUAUUCAUGUUCAUAAUCAGAGGAGUAAUAAUAUGCAUAAAGGAUCUGAACAUAUGAUCUUCCACCAAGUAUACCAAUUAGCAUCAACUACAAGGAGUAACCAACACUACUAGCAACCCACAGGUACCAAUUUGUGGUUUUGAUACAAGAUUGGAUACAAGAGAUGAACUAUGGUUUUGAGAGGAGAUGGUGCUGGUGAAGAUGUUGAUGGAGAUUGACCCCCUCUCGAUGAGAGGAUCGUUGGUGAUGAUUUCCCCCUCCCAGAGGGAAGUGUCCUCGGCAGAAUAGCUCCGCCAGAGCCCUAGAUUGAUUCUGCCAAGGUUCCGCCUCAUGGCGGCGGAGUUUCGUCCCGUAAGCUUGCCCACUAUUUUUUCCAGGGUAAAACUGAUGAUAUAGCAGAAGAUGGACGCCGGAGGCCCACCAGGGGGCCCAGGAGAUAGGAGGCCGCGCCCUACAGGGGGGCGCCCCCUGUCUCCUGGACAGGGUGUGGGCCCCCUGGCCUAUUUCUUUCGCCCAUAAAUUCUUAUUAAAUCCAAAAAGUUGCUUUGUGGAGUUUCAGGACUUUUGGAGUUGUGCAGAACAGGUUUCCAACGUUUGCUCCUUUUCCGGCCAGAAUUCCAGCUGCCGGCAUUCCCCCUCUUCAUGGUAAACCUUGUAAAAUAAGAGAGAAUAGCCAUAAGUAUUGAGAUAUAAUGUGUAAUAAUAGCCCAUAAUGCAAUAAAUAUUGAUAUAAAAGCAUGAUGCAAAAUGGACGUAUCACUUAGCUCCACACUGGUGAGAAGACUAGAUUAGGUGCCGGACGUGCCUGUCCAUUUGCUUUCUGAAGUUGCUUGUAGUUUUUUAGUAAUCUUUCAAUGGAUUUGGUAUUCUCGAACGCUGGUUCCUUGAGUUGUUUCCUUCUCCUAAGCUGUUUUUGGUCUAAGGACGUGAGAGAGGUGGCAGUCGCCCGCCACUUCUCCUCGCGCUCCUCGUGCGUGGGACUCGGUAGGUUUGUGCGCCCUGGGCUUGCCUUUGCGCGCACGCACCGGGCCGAACCCUGGUUCUUGAGGAUAUAGCUACUGAGUGUAAACCGCCCAGGAGGGGCCGGUUCAUGCUCAUCUAUAUUGAAGCUCAUGAAGACAAAGAAGAUGACAUUCUACUAUUAAAGCUUAGAGGCCCAGAGCCCAAAGGGGGAUUAGGGCCCAUAGUUGUAAACCGCCAUAAUCAUAUAACUUGUAUUGUAAGAUAGGGAGAGGAAGAGACCGAGCCGGACACUUGUAUGAGCCAGCCUCGGGACACUGUAAACCGGCCGGGCGUCAACCUGUGUAUAUAAAGGGACGACCCGGCGGCGGUUCAGGAAUAGAAAACAACAACUCGAGACUCGGGCAAAGCAUAUUCGCUCCCAGCUCAUCGAGAUCAAUCAAUCCCACCACAACUAGACGUAGGCUUUUAUCUUCAUCGUAAGGGGCCGAACUAGUAUAAAACUCUCGUGUCCCUUGUCCGGUUUAACCCCUUUAAGCUAAUCUCGUUGCGAUGGCUCCACGACUAAGUCCUUCUGCUAGGACAUCUGAUGUGUUAAUUCCACGACAGUUGGCGCCCACCGUGGGGCUACUGCACGAUGGUUUCGAGUUCUUAAAGGGCAACUUUGAAGGGCUCAAAGGGUACGUGGUUGGCCGGAUGACCAAGAGUCGUCGUGGCAAGCUCUACAUCGACGACGCAGGCUGGGGCCCCGAGGCCGGCUCAAUCGAGUACGGGUACCGGGUCCCCUUUGGUGGAAUUCACGUUUUCAUCGGCAAGAUCUGCGAACCGGGCCCUGAGCCGGACAUCUCCACCGACCUCGUCGAGACGGCUCAGCGUGCAAGUCCUUCCCGGGUUCAGCCUGCCAGGAAGCAUGCGUUCAUAGGGUUCAUCCAUGGUGCGGGAUCUGAACCGGUGUCCGACGGUGAGACGGCCAUCUACUCAGAUGGUGAAUCAUCCACUGGCGAAACCGAAUCGCUGUACCAAUUGCAAGAUGGCCGGAUUGGGGGAUAUUUCAAUGGCAAUAGUAUUUCGGGCCCCUUUGAACUGCCAAACCGGGUUGCGGUCUUCAUGGCCGGUACGCAGCCCACCAUGCAAUCUUCAUCUACAUUAGCAAUGAUCUCUGGAUCGGCAGCCGCGGCAGGAGGCCCGAUGCGCCGGCCGGCUCAAGUUCUUGCCGGUUUGCUGGACACUUUGACAACAUUGUUGACCACGGCAGCCACCCCAGAGACCCAAGAUCAGCACAAUGCGGAUGUUACAAAACUAAAGGAUCAGAUAACUCAGGCCAAGGCGGACUUGGCAGCUGAGGAGACCAGAAUGGCUGAAUAGCGGGCCGCUUUAGAUGCCCAAUCACAGCAAAUCCAGGCGUAGAAUUACCGGCUUAUGUUGGAUCAGAACGCGUCAAAUGAAGUAAUGAGAAGGAAGUACCAGUCUCGUUUGCCGCCGGUUUACGAUGGUAUGAAUCUCUUCAGUACGCCAGGAGCCGGGCCUAGUAAUCCGGCAGCGGUAAACCGGACCGAAGCACCUGGGGCAGCGUCAGAUCAGCCACAGGUGAUGGACCCGCCUCGACGGACGGAUAACCCGCCACAAUACGUAACAACGCCACCAUGUCACUUCUCUAGUCCUUUGGAUAACAUGAUUGCUGCAGCGUCACAUUUGGCAGCUAUUCCGAUGGAGGAUGACUCACUGGCGGCAGUUGAGACACGACAGGCCAGGGAUCUUCUUCAAACCGCUAUUGUGCAACAGCAGGCUUAUUCCUACAGCCGAGACAGAAUACAUUCAACCCCCCGUCCAAGCAAGAUUUAUAGCAAGCACAUGGAUGAACCGGCCAUGUCAAGCAGUGCGCGGCAUCGUGAUGCCCCUUAAGGGCCUAAUCCGGCACACGGCGGUUUGAAUGCUCAGGAUGUGGUGAACAAUGGCAGAGCACAGCGUGAAGCAGCGUUAGCAGCACAGUUGGUGGCAUAAUACCAGAAUCAACCCGCCCCGGUUCAGCCAGCGGCAUCAGUUGAACGUGGUUUGACUUUUAGCUCUUGGGGAGUACCGUGCCUCACCCCGGCUCUGCGUAAUGUGCGGCUGCCCAAGGAUUUCAAGGGUCCGCGUAAAGUGCCUAAUUAUACUGCCGAUCAACCCCCCGAGGCGUGGGUUGAAAGUUAUGAGACGGCAAUGGAGAUGCUAGAUGUGGAUGAAUCAGCGUGUGCAAAUUACUUCACCAUGAUGUUAGAAGGAACGGCUCGUACUUGGCUGAAGAGUCUACCUAUUAACUCGAUUAGUUCAUGGGAUGAGUUGAAGGCCAAGUUUAUAGCAAACUUCAAGGAUACGUGCAAGCAACCCAUGUCCAUUGUGGAUCUGGCAGCUUGUGUCCAAGGAGAAAACGAGUCAACAACUCAUUGGGUGCGUCGGGUUUCAGGAAUCUUGCACUCGUCAGGCCGUAUUAAUCCUGAUACGGCAAUCAUGACCUUGGAGGGUAAUUGCCGAUUUAAGUCACUAAAGAUGAAGUUGGUAUGGCUCAAGCGUCACUGCAAUGAUAUGGGAACACUCAUGGCGGCUUUGGUUAAGUAUGCUGAUUCUGAUAGUACCAAGGACCCCGAUUCUGAUGAAGAAAAGCAGGAGAAGGGAAAUAAGAAUGCCGGUACAAAAGGACAGCAUAACUCGGCGGGCCAUGGGAACAAUGGUAAGCGUAAAGCGGACAAUUCAGAUUUUGUGGCUAACACCAAUAUGCAGGGCAAUAUGCAGCGCCAUAAGGGUAAAUCGCCCCAGCGCGGUGGAGGCAUGAAUCUGGAACGCCUGUUAAACCAACCCUGCCCAAAGCACGGGACAAAGGAGGUUCCGGCUACGCACCUCUGGAAGGAUUGUUACAUCAUGAGGGAAUUCAAAAACUCUAAUCUUUUCAAGUAUGAUCAGGUUCCAUCCAGUGGCUCCGGUCCAGGGUUUCACGGGCCGGGUUACAGUGGUGGUGGUUCAAACUCUGGAUUUCAGAAUAAUCAGGGCAACCAGAACAAGCAAGGUGGUCAUAGUCAGCAGAGUAAUCAGGGGAAUCAGCAGCAGUCGGGUUAUCAGAGCAACCCAAGCAGUUAAAUGGUGGACAAUAUCAUCUUUUCACUACUAGUCUGUGCAAGCGCGAUCAGAAGCUCCAUAAAAGGGCAAUAAACUCUGUUGAACCGGUAGUGCCUCGUUAUCUGUGCUGGUCGGAACAACCUAUUGUUUGGAGUCGGGAGGAUCAUCCGCCCCGGGUUGACAAUCCGGGUCACCUAGCUUUGGUGGUUGCACUGCAGGUUGGAGGUUAUAAGUUUACCAAGGUGCUCAUAGAUGGAGGGAGCAGUAUCAAUAUCUUGUAUUAUGAAACCUUCCGGCCUAUGGGGUUAACAGACAAGAAUCUUAAACCGUCCAACACCGUUUUUCACGGUGUGGUGCCUGGUAAAUCGGCUUACCCAGUCGGUAAGAUAGCUCUAGAGGUGGUUUUUGGUGAUGAUCAUGAUUCAAGAUCAGAGACGGUGACCUUUGAAGUGGUUAAAAUCAGAAGUCCGUACCAUGCCCUGUUUGGACGGCCAAUUUAUGCUAAAUUCAUGGCAAGGCCGUGUUAUGUUUAUCUGCAGCUCAAGAUGCCAGGUCAUAAGGGGACCAUCACGGUUCACGGUAGCCGCAAGAUUGCUCUGGAGUGUGAGGAAGGUGAUGCGGCUUAUGCUGAGUCAGUUUGUGCAACGGAGGAGUUGAAGUUUUAUAAGGACAAUGUUGAUCCGGCAGAUAUGACUUCCCUGAAGAAGCCCACUACAGAGCAUGAUCCGGCUUUGAAGUUUAAAGUGGCUGAUGAGACUAAAUUGGUUGAUUUUGUUCCCGGCGAUUCAUCCAAGCAGUUCAGCAUCAGCCUCAACUUGGAUCCGAAAUAGGAAAGCGUGCUCAUCGAGUUCAUCCGUGAGAACCGGGACAUCUUUGCAUGGAAACCUUCUGACAUGCCAGGUGUACCGACGGAACUCGCUGAGCACACUCUUAAUAUUGAUCCAAAGUUCAAACCGGUCAAACAGUUUCUUCGCCGUUUUAAUGAAGAGCGGCGCAAGGCCAUUGGUGAAGAGGUAGCCCGGCUGUUGGCAGCAGGGUUUAUUGUGGAGGUAUUUCACCCAGAGUGGUUGGCUAAUCCAGUGCUGGUACUUAAGAAAAAUGGUACUUGGCAUAUGUGUGUGGAUUACACAGAUUUGAACAAGGCUUGCCCAACUGAUCCCUUUGCCCUCCCUCGUAUUGAUCAAAUCAUUGAUGCUACGGCGGGUUGUGAGCGUUUGAGUUUCUUGGAUGCUUAUUCUGGUUAUCAUCAGAUCAAGAUGGCAGUUAAGGACCAGGAGAAGACAACUUUCAUGACUCCAUUUGGAGCCUUCUGUUAUGUGUCUAUGCCCUUUGGGCUCAAGAGUGCCGAGGCAACUUAUCAACGUCGUGUGCAGAAUUGUGUUCAUACUUAGAUUGGGCGCAAUGUUCAUGCUUAUGUGGAUGAUAUUGUGGUGAAGUCCAGGAAAGCAGAGAUAGUCAUAACUGAUUUGCAAGAAACCUUUGAUAAUCUGAGAGUUUAUAAAAUGAUGCUCAAUCCGGCUAAGUGUGUCUUUGGUGUGCUAGCUGGCAAACUCUUGGGUUUUCUGGUGUUCAACAGGGGCAUUGAGGCUAAUCCGGAAAAGAUCAAGGCUAUCACAUCCAUGGCUAAACCGACAUGUAUCAAUGAUGUUCAACGUUUGGCAGGUCGUAUCGCGGCUUUGAGUCGGUUUAUCAGCAGGUUGGGAGAAAAGGCGAUCCCUCUGUAUCAAUGUUGAAGAUAACAGACAGUUUUGUCUGCAGCGACGCUGUUGAUGCGGCGUUUGAGGACUUGAAGAAGCAAUUGGCUGAACCACCGGUUCUUGCUGAUCCAGUUGAUAAGGAGCCACUAUUGUUAUACGUGGCUGCUAAUGCCCGGGCUGUCAGCGUAGCUUUUGUGGUGGAACGCAAGGAGGCUGGGAAGGAGUACCCGGUUCAAAGGCCGGUUUAUUAUAUCAGCAAAGUGCUCAUUGAGUCAAAGCAAAGAUACCCGCAUUGGCAGAAGCUGGUAUAUGGGGUUUUCAUGGCAAGUCAGAAGCUUAAAUAGUACUUUCAGCCCAUCACAGUGGUCAGUUCUGCUCCUUUGGGGGAUAUAAUCCAGCACAGGGAGGCAACUGGCCGGGUUGCUAAGUGGGCUAUUGAGCUUGGACCACACGGUUUGAAGUAUAUGCCUCGAACAACUAUCAAAUCCCAGGCCCUUGUGGAUUUCAUCAAUGAUUGGACAGAGUUGCAGAUACCGGAAGACAAACCGGACAGCACAUACUGGACUAUCCACUUUGAUGGAUCCAGGCAGUUGGAGGGCUCGGGGGCUGGAGUUGUCCUUACUUCCCCUCGAGGUGAUAAAAUUCAUUAUGUUCUUUGCUUAAUGUUCCCUUGUACUAACAAUGCAGCUGAAUACGAAGCCUUACUCCAUGGUCUUCGAGUGUCUAAGGAGAUGAACUUAAGCCGGGUACGAUGCUUUGGAGACUCAGACCUGGUGGCCCAACAAGUUUCAGGUACUUGGGAUUCUACGGAUCCACUCAUGGCAGCUUAUCGAUGAGAGGUGGAUAUUGUCGCUGGUCACUUCAAGGGUUAUCAAGUGGAGCACAUUGAUCGGUGCAAAAAUGAGGCAACUAAUGCUUUAAGCCGGCUGGGAUCUCAUCGUAAACCGGUGCCGCCCAAUACCUUUCUGGAUGUCUUGCACAACCCGUCCGUUCAGUUGCCUACGGAGGAGGACCUCGCUAUUCCUGAUCCGGAGGCACAUUUGGUGGCUGCUUUACACAUUAUUCCGGAUUGGACGGUUCCAUACUUGGCGUAUUUGAACCGGGGCGAGUUGCCAAAGGAUGCAGUUUUGGCCAGAAAGAUAGUCCGGCGAUCCAAGUCCAUGGUUGUUCACAAUGGCAAGUUACACCAUUGCAGUGUUACUGGUGUGUUCCAGCGCUGUGUUUCUCCUGAAGAAGGUUGUGAGAUUUUACGAGAGAUCCACGAAGGAGACUGUGGUCAUCAUGCCGGUUCAAAACCCUUGGUUGCUAAAGCUUUUCUUCAUGGUUUCUAUUGGCUGACGACUCAUGCUGAUGCUGAGGACUUGGUGAGGCGGUGUGAUGGUUGUCAGAAAUUCUCACGAUGAGCUCAUGUUCCGGCUCAGGAGCUACGGAUGAUUCCCAUCACUUAGCCAUUUGCUACUUGGGGGCUUGACAUGGUAGGGCCUUUCAAGCAAUCCAAAGAUAAGAAGACCCACCUGUUGGUGGCGGUUGACAAGUUUACUAAAUGGGUUGAAGCGGAGCCCGUAAGCAAGUGUGACGCAGCCACGGCAGUUCAAUUCAUCAAACGGGUGAUCUUCCGUUUUGGUUUUCCACAUAGCAUCAUCACAGAUAAUGGCACGAACCUUUCCAAAGGUGAGAUGGAGGACUUUUGUCAAAGAGAACACAUCAGGCUUGAUGUGUCAUUCGUGGCUCAUCCCCAAUCUAUUGGUCAGGCUGAGAGGGCUAACCAGGAAAUUUUAAAAGGUACCGAACCUUGGCUUAUGGUCCCUUUGAAGAGGACGCCGGGUUGUUGGGUGGAAGAAUUGCCAUCUGUGUUAUGGAGCAUAAACACCACCCCAAACCGAUCUACAGGUUAUACACCUUUUUUCAUAGUUUACGGGGCAGAGGCAGUACUCCCAAGUGACAUUCGUCAUGACUUGCCCCGGGUUGCCAAUUAUGUUGAAGCGGACAACGAGCAAGCACGUCAAGAAGCACUGGACCUGUUAGAUGAAAAACUUGACAUGGCGUUGGCUCGUUCGGCGGUUUAUCAGCAAGACCUGCGGCGUUAUCACAACCGCUGGGUUAAAACAAGAACCUUUCAAAAAGGCGACUUAGUGCUCCGGCUCAUCUAGGAUCAGACCGAUAUGCACAAGUUAUCCCCACCUUGGGAAGGGACUUUUGUGGUCAGCAAGAAUCUACACAACGGAUCAUACUACCUCAUCGACGUUCGCGAGCACAAAGACUCAAGCAAAUCGGAAGAGGAGACCCGUCGGCCGUGGAAAUCGCUCAUCUACGGCCUUACUACACCUGAGCCAUAGGCUCUCAUUAUGUACAUAUUAUCACAAUGUAUAUAUUAUGAUCAAUAUAAUAAACCGGCAUCCUUGCUACAAGCAGGGCCUCUGCCGUUUUAUCCAAUAUUUCUUGGUUACAAGGGGGGCUUCGGCUUACAAAGCGACGUCCUGUUUAUCCAUCAAACCGGCUAUACAACCACAAUAAAGCUUGGGAGCUUCACACCCAAGGGGCCAAAGAGAGUAUUGUUGCUAACAGCACAACUCAAACAUAGGCACCCAUUGAGCACAGCUCACAAAGUUACUUGGGGGCUCUUUGUGCAAAGCAACAAAGAGUUUGAAAGGACCCUUGUAAUUGGCUAUCGAGCCACGUCUUGGAAGCCUGGUGUAUUCACCUAAAACUCCGGGUUAACCUGCCUUCAUCAAGUAAGCCACUCCUAUCUAGGUAAUCCUGGCAUGACCCGCCGAACGUUUGACAAGUCAAUCUUAUACAGACCCUGAACUUGUCAAAGUUAAAAUGACGAUUGGUUAGAUGGACCCAAUCUUAAAAGGCUUUGUCAAAUGGUUUAACUCAGCGGCCUGGCAGCCCAUGAAAAGCCUUGAAUUUGGGCCUGGCAGCCCUUGAAAAGCCUCGACUACAAGUUUUAUUCGAUUUUGUUUUUGCAAAGUUUUAUCUAUUCUUAUAUGGUUCUAAGUUAAACCGGCGUCUACUGACCCAACCCGACUAUAUGUCAUUACAUCAACCCGGUGUUUCUUAAAACCGGCGUGGCUUACAGCUAUUAGCUGUUAGCACAUAAUCAAAUAUGAACCGUCAUCUCUUAAUCUGGUCUCGCAAUGACUAUAAGUCACCAGGAUGAUCAUCCGGUGUUUAUCAUAACCCGGCAUGGUUUAUUACGCACCAGCACAAUGCGAUGGGCGUUUUCAAACACUCCAGGUUUGGGUUAUCACGCUUACUACAUAAAGUUGGUAAACCAACAAAAGUGAUUUAAUAUCAAAGGUAUGAUAUAUUUCAUAUUCCAUUACUUUAUAACCUUGGUUAUGAGAAUUCUGGUUCUAUAUUGGGUAUCAUAACCCGUCUGAUGGUAAACCGCCAGGACAUGUUUAAGUUUUUUCAAAUGCAGAAGGCAGGAUUUUUUAAGAAAUACCAAGGCAAAUAAAGCAAGCAUAGCAACAAUCAUGCCAGAUUACAAUAUCAGGUAGCAGUGCACGAUGGCAGAAGGUCAAAGUAUUUCAACUAGCCUAUUACAAGGCGCUUUGAUGCCCAAAAGAAUAAUUGUUUGUUGCCCACAAUGCUAUCAAACCGGCUGCCGGAUUAUGAUUCGUCACCAGGCUGACGUGAAGUUGAAGGAUCAUCUCGCGCCGGUUCAACCUCCUCCUCCUCACCCAGUGGCUGGGAGUCAAGGGUGGUCCAAUCAAUCCUGGUUAAGGCUUGAAAGACAGCUUCGUUGCUUAUAAGGUUUGAUGGUUCAACGUCAGGGGCAUAGGUGUGCUUACGUAUUGGAGGGAUUAGAUUUUGUGCUUCUUUCACAGCUGCGUCAAGCCGUUUGUUGUCUGCGUCAUAGCUGGACCGAUAGACAGACAAAUCAACCUCUUCAGCCAAUUGGCUUGCCAGUGGGCGCAUCUUCUUCUUGUAGCAGAUCACUUUACCGUUUGUCGCGCAACCUCUUCAGCCAAUUGGCUUUCCAGCUGCGUCAAGCCGUUUGUUGUCUUUUUUGUCAAGACUUUGAGGGCUUCAUUAUCAAAUUCUGAUCCGUCUUCUUGUUGACCAGGAUAGCCCUUUGCGAUAUGCCGGAUCAAGAUCAGCAAUCCAAGCUUUCGCCCGAGUCAGUUCUGUUAAAGCACCAGCUCUUGCAGCAGAUCGCUUUAUCUCUUCCAUCUGGGCUGGGGUCAUAGAUGAUUUCGCCAAUGUAUCCUUGAUCAGGGUUGGUGCCGAUUUAUUGAAAGAGGACGCACAGAUGACUCGUUGAGCACCAGUGUACAAUUGUUCUAUCAAUGUGUAGGCUGCUUUCAACUUCAUCCGCAUAUCGGAGCCCAGAUGACCAAUACGACUACCUGCAACGGUUUAAGAAUUUGAUGUUAAACCGGCAUUUCAAAGAUGUUUAAGAAAGGUUCUUGCAAAGAGUACUUACCAAAUAUUGCUGAAGUCAUAGCAUUGACUUGAUGCUUUAGCCCAGUUAGCUCAUCUACCACCGGUUUAAGAGAUGCUUUGGCAUCUUUAGCCCGCUUUAACAGAGCAGCUUUCUCAGUUUCCCAAUCCGCCUGCUCACUUUUAAAACCAUCCUUUAACUGCUCCAUGGCAGUUAAAGCGCCCUUCAGUUCAUCCUUGGCCUUGGAGGUUUCUGCUUGCUGGGGCUUAAUGUUUUCUUGAAGAUCGGCAAUCUGGGAGUCUUUGUUGCUCAAGUCAGCCUGCAAAAGACAGAUGAUGAAGAGGUUAAGAUUGUUUCUCAAAGUCCCAAGCACAUAACAAGUUAUACACUUGGCACUUGGGGGCUAAUGCGGAUUGCUUCUUUUUGACUAUUAUUCAAAGUCCCAAGGCUCAAUACAAGUAUUAAUCUUCGCACUUGGGGGCUAAUGUGUAAUUGAUCAGACAAAUCAAAGGUGAAGGAAUUCAACAAGGAUAGGUUUUGAACAGAAAGUCCCGGUUCAUCUUGAAAAGGUAAACCGGCCCUUGGGGGUUACACAGUUGAAGUCUUUUUUAUCUAAAGUCUCGGUUCAUCUUGAAGAGAUAAACUGGCCCUUGGGGGAUACACUGGAGUUGAUAUAUAGUACAAAGAGAAAUUAUGAAGUGUUUGGAAGUUACCUCAUAGCGCUCCUUGAUCAUAUUGACUAAACCGGCCUCAUAGUCACGGCUUGUAUAUAGGUGGUUUAGGUAUCCAGAGUGAAGUUCUUGAGUGGGGAGAUGAGCAUAGCUGGAAAGAUCAGUCUUCCAUUUGCCAUUCCCUUCAGGAGCAGAUUCCACUUUAGCACUGUGCUUUGACAAAGCGACAUGAUUACUAGGAGAAGUAUGGCCAAACCCAGUAAUCACAACAUCAUCAGUUGCUUUUGGGCUAGCCGGUUUAUCUGAGGCCUUGGCCGGGCUAGGCGGAUCAGCAGUUGGACUUGGAGGAUUGGCAUGCGAGCUUGGUGGAUCAACAUGAGGACUCGCCGGGUUAACCUCUGGCGGAGCAACAUAAGUGUCCUGACCUUGUGGCACAGGAUCAUCCAUAGCAAUAUCGGCAUCUCCACCAGCACCUUCUGAGUUCCUCCCCGGUUCAACCUCAUCAAUGGGGGCAUUGGUCUUUGUUUUCUUGCUCAGUCGAGCUUUGGCACUACUAACUGGCAAACAGAGGUUAAUAUGGUAAACUGGCACAAGAAGGCAAACUUAAAAUUAUUAUACGUACCCAGAGACGGUCUUGAGGGGAGGCAUUUGCGUGGUUGAUGAAUCGCUAGAGGAUGAAUAGGAAGUUACCUGAUAAUUUGAGUCAGACGGAUUAAGAGGGUAUCAGAAGUAACCCGCCAAGGGAUAAGAAUUGAUAGAAUUACAAGAGACCUCGGCACGGCGCUUCCGGAUUGGGGUGUCUAUCGGUGUUCUGGGAACGGGGCCCCCCAGACUUGCCUGCCUGCGGCCUGCGGCGUGGCUCAAGCGAAGGCUCAGUGCAGCCCAGCUUCAUCAGCUCAAGCUCAAGACCCUCGCGAGGGGCCAAGCCUCGUGGGGUGGACGACAGGAACCUUCCUCAGGAGCAGCCUCAUCAGGCAGGCUCGCGAGGAGGCGGAGAGAUCAAGGCAGGGUACCUCACGAGGUGCCCGUGACACAAGCCAUGACGAUUGAGCCCAGGCGGGCGCCAGGCGGGCGUCGGCCUGCGCAGUGUCCUUGUUUCCCCUUUGAUGCAAAGGGAGCAAGCACAAGCCAAGGCAUCAGGCAAAGGUUACCGCUUCGGUGCAACAAGACCAACACCAGCAGAGUGGCAUGAUGGAAGUCAUCGUGGAGCCCAGGAUGGCAUCACCGCCAGAGUCUUUGGCAGUCGAAGACUAACUUUAGUCAGGAUAAGUGUACUAGAUGUUCCCCUUCAAAAUGGCCAAUUGUUGGCGCCCUUCCUGCUCAUUAUUUGGGAAGAGGCCCAGGGCUUCCCUCUAUAAAUAGGACUAGCCACCACAGUAGAAAGGAGAACGGAUCCAGAUUGCGCAUAGACUAGAGAGAGGCGACUAAACUCAACCAAGCAGUUCAUCGCACCAGCUCAAGAACAGCCCCUCGCGAGGUUGUUCUCCCUUUGUAUUGUCCAUGAUCAGCCCCUGAGGCAAUCCACCACACGACACACUGGAGUAGGGUAUUACACCACAAUGGUGGCCUGAACCAGUAUAAAUCUCAUGUCCCUUGUGUGCUCUUCUUGCUAGCCUAGAUUCCUUGCGAGCCAUCGAGACGCGAGUUGGUAGGGGAAAGAUAUUUGUGCGCACCCCAGAGUUCGAACCUCAAGGGUCUGCCAGAACCCGAAAUCCGACAUUUGGUACGCCAGGGGGUGCGCUGGAAUCUUUCUUCCGCUGUUCGCGUGUGAUCUUCCGUCGUAUCCAUGGCUGACGCUCGUCGGGCUCGCGCUGAGCGUCGGCCUGCUCUCGCCACCCGCGUCGCCCAGACGGCGCCCAUUGGUGGACGCCCCCGUCGUUACCCGUCGCCUGCCGCCAACGCCUCCACCGGCCCAGCGGGGAACAAGCAGCAUGCCUCGUCCCUACAUCCUUCGGUGCAGCGGGAAGGCUGCACCGCCACCCCGUCGCUGACUCCAGCCGGUUUGUUGUCCCACACCUGUCGCGCCCCCACGGACGCGCACGCUGUGCUGCUCCUGGCGCGUGAGCUCCUGCACUACCAUCCCAUCGACGACCUCUACGAGGACUGGCUCGCCCACAUCACCGAGCUCGUCAGCGCUGUGGGGGACUCCGCUGCGCCAUCCCUCUCACUGCCUCGCCCUCCGUCCUGCGCAGGAGGCGCAGAACAGGAGGUGCCUCCGCCACCUCCUCCCCAAGAAGGCGCCCUGGCUCCAAGGCGCGCGGCCCCAGGACAAGACCCUCCACGUCCGGCGCCCGUGCGACAAGAAAGGAUUUGCCAAGAAAUCCCUCGCCCCCAAGAAGGUGCCCGCGUGCUCCCAGCACCGGUGCGCCAUGACCGCAUCCCUGCGUUACCACGUCAAGACCCCACGCUGCUCCAAGCGGCGGCGUGUGGGAAUUUCCAGGAGCAAGCCUAGCACCAGCAAAGGGCUCCGGUGGCCACCGCAUGCUGCCGCGCCUUCACCCCCGAGCUACACAGUGUUGCAUGGCCAGGCAAGUUCAAGCCUGACCUGCCCCCUCACUACGAUGGCACUGCAGACCCUGCAGAGUUCCUACAGCUCUAUGAGCUGGGCAUCGAAGCCGCCAACAGGGACGAAAAGGUCAUGGCGAACUGGUUUCCCAUGGUGCUCAAGGACGAUGCCCGCACCUGACUUCUGAACCUAGCUCCUGGCAUGAUCUCCUCCUGGGACGAGAUGCGCACUCGCUUCAUCGCCAACUUCCAAGGCACUCGCGACCGGCCCCCAGCCAUGAGUGACCUGCGCCGCAUCAAGUAACAGCCAGGAGAGACCCUACAGAAGUACAUCCAGCGCUUCAACAAUGCUCGCCUCAAGAUCCCCAGGGUGACUGAGGAAGCCAUCAUCUGAGCCUUCUCCGAUGGCGUGCGUGACAUCAAGAUGAAAGAGGAGCUAGCAAUCCAUGAAGACAUGUGCACAUCCCUGGAGCUGUUCAACUUGGCGACCAAGUGCGCCAGGGCUGAGGAAGGGUGCCUCUCCCUCCUCGAGCUUCCGGCUGCCGAUCUAGAAGAGAAGAAGCCCAAGGUCAAGGACGUGAAGCGUAAGGGAGCUGCCGUGCUUGAAGCGGAGCCAGACACCAAGCGAGGCAGGGGUCAGCCUGGGUCAUCCAAGGGUAGCUGGUACUGCGUGAACCACGACCUCCACACCCACAACACCAACGAAUGCCAAGAGCUCAGGGCCGUACGAGAUGCGCGUAUCAGCCGACGUCUCGAGCGCAACGAUCGGGGCUAUGGCCGAGGAGGCGGAAGAGGUGGAGGACGAUGGGAAGACCGUGGCCCUCGCCAAGGGUGGCGUGACCGACCUCGCGAGGACCGUUGGCAGGACCAGCAUCACGAGAGAGGUUGGAGGGAUCAGCCUCGUGAGGAUCGCCCGCACGGCAACGCAGGCCUCCCUCCUCUGCCACCACCGCCAAGGAGGAAUGAAGACCCGCAUCAGGACAAGGGGGCUGGGGGCUUCCAGGAGCCGCGCGCAAUCGCUUGCAUCCUGGGCGGCGCCCAGGCCCGAGCCUCACAGCGCAUCUUCAAGCAGUUUGCUCGUGAGGUGAAUGUAGUCCUCUCCAAGCUUGAGGCCAUGCACCCUCUCAGGUGGUCUGCGUGCGCUAUCACAUUCAGCUCAGCGGAUUAGCUCAAGUGUGCAGCAACGGCCGGAGUCCUCCCAAUGCUUUGUUCCCCAGUCAUCAGCAAUGUGCAACUCACAAGGACCCUCAUCGAUGGCGGAGCAGGACUCAACGUCCUAUCCGUCGAGACAUUCAACAAUCUCCAAGUGCCAUAUGAUCAGCUUCAGCCGACCAAGCCUUUCUCAGGAGUCACUAAUGGUUCCACUAUUCCGAUAGGGCAGGUUCGCCUUCCAGUCACCUUUGGGCAGCACAACAACGACCGCACCGAGCUCAUUGACUUAGACGUCGCCCACAUUCGCCUGCCGUACAAUGCCAUCCUCGGGUACCCAGCCCUGGCCAAGUUCACGGCAGUGACUCACCAUGGCUACAAUGUCCUCAAGAUGCCAGGAAGCGGUGGAGUUAUCACAGUACCCUGUGAGGAAAGGGAUGCAGUGUGUUCUCUUGAGCGUGCCUUCCAAGCCGUGGCAAUCGAAGACCCAGAUCACAGUAGCGGAAGGCUUCCCGAGGCGGUCCCGAAGAAGAAGAAGGCUUCGCCUGGCCCAAGACAUUAGGAGGCGGGUACUUCUGGAGGCGUAGCGUCAGGAUUCGCACCCGUUCAGGGGGCGCCACCCUUUGUAGCAUAGGAAGGCGCGCCCGACACCCUCCUCGGGCAGGGCUUGGGGGCUCUUUCUUGGAGGGACACUGACUUUGCCAAGGUCACGAGGGAGGCGCUCGGGCACCACUUGGAGGCAUGCUUCAAAGCACGUUUCCCUCAGGAAGGUAUGAGGCAAGGAGGGCCAAACCCUUAGGAGUUUAUUGCGAGAAACACUCAGGAGUCAAGAGUCAUGCGCGGCAGCCGCCGCCUACCCGCCGCAGCCCCCCAUCCAGGCAAGGAUGGCGUGCUGCGCGUCUGCAUCAACGUGCCAGGGCUCAACCGAGCCGCGUCUCAGGAGCGCCUCUGACCUUCGCGCAUGGGGCGUUGCGAGGGGCCACCUCACAGCUACGUUCGCAUGCCUUUCGGCCUGCCGAACGCGGUCGCCGCUCAUUAGCGCCUACCGAGGAGCAUUUUGGAGGCUCAGGAGGUCAGGCAUCGCACGGUCCUGGCGGAGAUGGAGACGGCCCUCGAAGAUCCACCUGUGCCCCCGGAGCCUCCCGAGGCUCCUGGUCCCAGGAGCUCGUGAGGGUCGGCUUCCUCACCGCGCAUCGUCCGCUGCUUCAGCAUCCCUGCAUCUUUAACGGUAUCAGGUGACAUCUUUCAAAGUUCCAUUUUCAGCUGGGAGCGCCCACAGGGCUGCAUCAUUCCCAGGUCACGUGGGUCCGUCCCUGCAGCAUGUAUCCAUUUUGCUCAUGUUCUCUGCUUACCUUGUUGGGGGCGCCCUUCGGGCUGCAUUAUCCCCAAGUUGCUCGGGCCUGACCCAGUGGCCUUUGCUUCUCCGCAUUUAUCUAAAUAGAUUUGCUCCUCCAUGCUUAACCUGAUUCCCGUGAUCAUCGCGGACCUCUCCACUCUCAUGCAAAGCGCUUGCACGUUAAAAGGGGGUGCCUGAGCAUCGCGACUCAUGGACUCUUACUGGCUCUCCAGCCCUCACCCCCUGGCCUUGACCCACGGCAUCGCGACCUGUGAUACCAGCGGUGGCUGAGCUUGCUCGAGGGCUGGGACCAGAGGACGUAGAGCAUUUGCAAUCUAACCACCUUGCAGGAACAUACCAUUGAUAAAGGCCCAGAGCCAGGCGCAACCCGCCUCGAGGUAGGGCCUCGUGAGUCCCGCGCUGGCUCACGGGUGCCCAGAUACACCUCUCCUAGCCCUACCGUGUCGGCCACAUGUCAGGGCGGGGCUGUACAUGCCCCGGGGGCUCCUCCCGGAGGGGAGCCCCCUCCCACGCACCAGUGGAAGCACCAUGCUCCGCGUUGGCUGACGACACUGCCGAGGAGCGGCUAUGCCCGUACACAUACAAAAGCACUAUGCUCCGCGCUGGUGAUAAACAACUAAGGGCGGCCCACGGCCGUAUCAACCACAGGGAGCCCGGAGCUUAGUGUCCGGCACCGUCACAACGCCUCCCCUCGGGAGUGCCGCGCGAGGGGGCUGGACACGGGGGCUACGCCCGGGCCACGCCCGAGCGCACGCCACCUAGCCAGGUCCCUCAGACCUGGUCGUCGCGCGCCCCUCCCCGAGCGGAGCCAAGGUACGAAAGCUCGUUUGCACGUCAAGGGGGACUCCUGAGCAUCGCAACUCAGGAGCCUAACUGGUCACGUAGCCCCUCACUCCUUAGUCCCGUCUUGGUUUCCGCUCGGGGCUAACGGCGGAUGAGGUAUGCGCGGGGCCGGGCCCUGUCGACGUAGAAUGACAAAUCCACUCCUAUGCCUCCCUUCCCUACUUGCUGUUUGCGCGUCAAGGGGGACUCGUGAGCAUUGUGACUCAGGAGCCUAACUGGUCACGUAGCCCCUCACUCCUUAGUCCCGUCCUGGUUUCCGGUCGGGGCUAACGGCGGCUGAGGUAUGCGUGGGGUCGGGCCCUGCCGAGUAGAACACAAGCAAAUAGGAGGGAAAAUGCAAAUUCUAGAGAAUUCAAAAGCAAAUAUUACAAUCCAUAGAUUGUUUCACAACGCCAAACACAAGUUUAAACGCCUCCACAAGGCAUGGUGCAUGUCGCAUGAAUUAAAAUAGGACAGAAGCUGCGAAGGGAUCACUUUCCAGUGGUGCCGCCGCCUGUGGUGGAGUCACGCUGGGCGACUCCACCUCCUGAGGCCGCGAAGCUGGCGGCAUCGCACCCGGGCAAGAUGCUGAAGGCACGGAACCUCCCCAGCAAAGCCUCGGCUCGGCCUUUCACAUCCUCAGCAGCAGCGGCGGCAAGGUCGCCACUCACAGGUUCCAGCAGGCUGUCAAGGUCGACGUUGGGGUCGCGAAGGUAGACGUGCCUGAGGACACGCGUCAGCGCUGUAGAAGACACGGCACGCACCUCGGCCUCGGCCGUAGGACCAAGGCCGUCUGCGACAUCUUCAAGCGCGCGGACCAGCAAGGGAAGCAGCUCGGUGGGGCCGUCCUCUGCACCAGCCAACGGUUUUUCUAAGCCGCCCUCAUAAAGCGUCUUCAGCGCGGCGCGAGCUUUCUCCUCCAGCUUCGCGAAGGCCACUCGAUCCUCCGCCAGGACCUUCGCCUUGCCAUCUAGCUUGGUCCUCUCCGCCUUCAGCACCUGCUCCAGGGUCUCCAACCGACCACGGUGGUCAUCAAGCUCGGCGUCCCGGUCCCUGACGGCGGCCUCCCGGGCCUUCAUCUCCUUCUCCUUCUCCUGGGGGCCGCAGACCUCCUUGGCGAGCUCGUCACGCAGGCCUUGCAGCUCGACCUCCAGCACCAUGCAGCAGCCCCGGGCAUCCGCAGCGUCGCCCAGGGCAGCAUCGCGAGUGGCCUUGGCCUAACAGGUGGCUUGCUUCUCCCCAUCGGAGGCCGACACGGCCUGGCUCAGCACCGCUCGGACGGAGGCGGCAGAGUGGGCCCAGCCAGAAGCUAGUUCCAGGCGCCCGACCACUAGGCAAGGGUCCGUGCUCCGAAGAUCCUCCCGCAACCGGCUCAGUUCAUUGGCAGCCCGGUCCAGGACGGCGGAAGAGUCAGAAGAUACGGGAGCCGGCGGAACAGGCGGAGAGGACGGCAGCGUGAUCACAGCUUGGGAGGAAGGAACCCCCUGGGCCUUGGCCACCCUGGCGACAGCAUCAAGCGCUGGCACCUCCAGAGUCAGCGGGGCCACGGGGGCUGACUCCUCCCCUGAGCGUCCUUGCUGGCCUCACGAAGGCGAUCGGGCAGGAGAGGCGCGAGCCUCGCUGCCUCCUUUCCCCGCAGAUGAAGGCGCUGCCCCGGCAGAUUAACUCCCCCCAAGCAGGGUCGCCGAGGACCCUUUCAACCUUUUUGUUGCAGGCGCCGGCCUGGCCAAAAGGAUGCAGAUGUCAAGCCUUGGUGACGGAAACAAAGCAAAACACGAAUCGAGCACUUACUGGUCAUCGAUCGAGGACUCAAGCAGCCUCCAGCCAAACUUGAAGCCCGAGAGCCUGCAGUUGGAGUCAGCCUUGUGAGGCACGGAAGCAGAAGGUGCGUCAGGAGGGCCUAAGCUGGCCUCAGACCGCCCCGGGACCAGAGCAGACCCUGGGAGAACCAGCCCCGUCCUGCCCUUCCUCAGGAUCAAGGGAGAGUUGCCGGCCUCGUCGUCGUCCGGCAUGGAGCGAAGCGCACGGGACCUGCGCCGAGGGAAGGACUCCCUCGACUCCUCGCCGGUCGCCUCAGAGUCGGGCUCUUCUUCCUCCUCACUCCCGCUGGAGUCGUCGGAGAACACGUUCACCGUUGCCAGCGCCGCUAGGUCCUCGGGAGCUUCUGCGGGCACCAGCCCCUCACUGUUGAAGGUGGGCAUGGCGUUCACCACCUGCUCCCAGCCGUUGCGAAGGAACAGGGGGACGGGAGCGCCCUCCGGGCUCGCCACAUCCCCCCAACCAAGGAGUGGAGAGCUGCGACCAGAUCUUCGUCGGUCAGGGCCUCAGAGCUUAGGUGAAGGGCGACAUCUGCUUCCCCAAGCCUCCACAAUGGGAGCGAGUGCUCCCGGAGUUGAGCCACCCGGUGCUCCAGGAACUCCCUCAGGAGCGUAGCCCCGGUCAGCUUCGCCGCCCCCAAGUUGCCUGGCCUCAGGUCCGCGUUGAUCCUCUUCGGCACCACCUUCACGCGGGGGUCGACAAGCUCCGCACGGGACCACGCGUCAACAGCCUUGGGCGGCCCCGUAGGCAGCACCAGUCGAGGGUGGAUGCGCCCAACAUCCACCAUGACCCACUUGAUCCGGUAGCCGUCGAUCCUCUUCCCGGGCUUCGAGAUAGCAUUGGAGUUGGAAUAUGCGAUAAAGCUCGCACACGCGGUGAUGUGGGCACCAGAAACUCAGAGGGAGAAGUAAUGACGCAGCAAGGCCACUGAGGGCCUUACCCCAACGUGAGCCUCACAAUAGUAGGCGAAAAUCGCCAGGAGAAGAACAGAGUUGGGGUGGAGGUGCAGAGCUUGAAAGUUGUACUGACGAAGAACAGUGAGGAAGAACUCGGAAAAGGGAGGCACCAAACCGGCGAUGAUGGCGCUCAUAAAGAGCGGGUAGAAGGUGCUCCCCUUGCCUUCAGGCUGGGCGGAGCCGGCCUUGAGCACAGUUGCCCCCAUGUUGCCCUGCACCACCUUCAUCAGGCGCGUGAGGGCGAGAUUCUUCUCCGACACGUUCGGGGGAUCCAGAGCCGACGAGUACCAGGCCUCGGCCGGGAUCUUGCGAGGCGCCAUGGCUUGCUGGAUGGAAGGGAUUGAGACAGAUCUGGAGGAUUUCGGGGGCAAGAAGGAGAAGGGCGAGAGAGGGGAUCUGGAGCAAGGCGAACGAGAAAGAAGAAAGUAAGUCUGGCCCGGGCACCUCUUUUUGUCAGAUGGACGGUUGCCGAGGCGUCGUGAGGAAGCAGAGACGCCCACGUCCAAUCAAUUGCCACGCGGUGCCCAAGGCCGCAGGCUAUUGGGGCCCGCGGCGCUUCACACUUUCCCUUCGCUUCUCUGCUAAGCCAAGUACGGGCGCGCCUUGGGCCCGGUGGCUACUGUUGGUGUUCUGGGAACGGGGGUCCCCAGACUUGCCUGCCUGCGACCUGUGGUGUGGCUCAAGCGAAGGCCCAGUGCAGCCCAGCUUCAUCAGCUCAAGCUGAAGACCCUCGCGAGGGGCCAAGCCUAGUGGGGUGGACGACAGGAAGCUUCCUCAGGAGCAGCCUCAUCAGACAGGCUCGCGAUGAGGUGGAGAGAUCAAGGCAGGGUACCUUGCGAGGUGACACAAGCCAUGACGAUCGAGCCCAGGCGGGCGCCACGCGGGCGCCGGCCUGUGCAGUGUCCUUGUUUUCCCUUUGGUGCAAAUGGAGCAAGCACAGGCCAAGGCAUCAGGCAAAGGUUACCGCUUCGGUGCAAAAAGACCAAGACCAGCAGAGCGGCAGGAUGGAAGUCAUCGUGGAGCCUAGGAUGGCGUCACCGCCAGAGUCUUUGGCUGUCGAGGACCAACUUUAGUCAGGAUAAGUGUACUAGAUGUUCCCCUUCAAAAUGGCCAAUUGUUGGCGCCCUUCCCGCUCAUUAUUUAGGACGAGGCCCAGGGCCUCCCUCUAUAAAUAGGACUAGCCACCACAGUAAAAAGGAGAUCGGAUCCAGAUUGCGCAUAGACUAGAGAGAGGCGACUGAACUCACCCAAGUAGUUCAUCGCACCAGCUCAAGAACAGCCCCUCGCGAGGCUGUUCUCCCUUUGUAUUGUUCAUCAUCAGCCCCUGAGGCAAUCCACCAAACCACACGCUGGAGUAGGGUAUUACACAACAAUGGUGGCCUGAACCAGUAUAAAUCUCGUGUCUCUUGUGUGUUCUUCUUGCUAGCCUAGAUUCCUUGCGAGCCAUCAAGACGCGAGUUGGUAAGGGAAAGAUCUUCGUGCGCACCCCAGAGUUCGAACCUCAAGGGUCUGCUAGAACUCGAACUCCGACAAUGUCUGGUAAACCGGAGGAAGUGACUUGCUGGCCACUAUGUCGGGUUGUGCGACGAGCUUCAGGAUGCUGUGGAUCCAAAUGAGUGAAAGGAUGUGAACAUUUCACUUUCGGACUGCGUGACGGAUUUUUCUUACUGGCACAAGAUCGGAAUUGGAGGAAAGGGAGAUUACCUCCACAUGGUCCGCAUGGCAAGCUUCUGCAUCAUCCUAGUAAUGGUCGUUGUCAAUAAGGUGAAUGAAAAAUGAACCAAGGGAGUCAAGUUCUACCUCUUGUUCCGAAUCAUCAACAUCUUCGGGUGGAUCAGAAGACUCAACAAUUUUCUUCUUGGAUGGCCUCUUUGUGGCCUUGCUCUUGCCACGAGGAGCCCUCGCCGGUUUGUCUUGAGCUUUGGCCAGUUUGUUUUGAGUUUUCCUCUUCCAGAAAGGAUCUUUUGCCUGUAAGAAUAAACAAAAGAUUGUCAGAAAAAUGUUAAAGCGAAGACGGAUUGAAAAGCAGAAGGGUAAAAUUUUACCGCUGGCGGUUUGUUGGAGGCAUAAAAAGGACGCAGCCUAGUCUUGCUGCACUCAGCAAUCGGUUCAUCCAGCAUCUUUUUAACAGAUUCAGUGACUUCAUCAUCGUUCAUCUGUAUUUUAGUGUGGCGUUGAGGAUCCUUGACAUCCUCGGUAUACUCAUGCAUCAACCUGGUGCGGCGGCUUAAGGGCAGGAUACCCCAUGAAACCCAGCAAUGGACGAGGUCAAUGCCGGUUAAGCCGUUUGCUAGAAGAGCCCGGAGCUUAGCAAGUUGAGGUGCAUAUGUUUGUCGUUCCUUGGCAGUGAGCCGCUGAGGCAGUGGAUGUCCAUUGCUAAGCCGGUAAGCACGGUAACUCGACAGAGGAUUUUCAUCAGCAGGAGUGGUAUUCUGACAAUAGAACCAUGCUUGGUUCCAAUCCUUGGGGUGGCUGUGAUGUUUGGCAUGACGAAAAUCGACUUCUUUCCUUUUCCGAAUCGACACUCCGCCAAGUUCAAUAUUGGGGCCGUCAGAAAAUUCAGUGCGGUGGUUCAAGUGGAAGAAGUCCCUGAAGAGUUCAACAGUCGGUUCUUCUUGAAGAUAAACUUCACAGAACACUUGGAAAUUGCAGAUGUUAGAAACAGAGUUCGGUCCAAUGUCUUGAGGAUGGAGUUGGAAGUUGGCAAGUACAUCCCGGAAUUUUUUUGAUCCGGGAGGGCUAAACCCUCGGUCCAAAUGCUGCAUAAAUACAACAACUUUUCCAUCUUGGGGUUCAGGAGGGUUUUCAGCACCAGGGACUCUCCAAUGAAUGAUUUCCUUCUUUGCCAAAGCGCCGGUUAGGACAUAACCAGUGAGUUGUUCUUCUAUGAUCCGGGAGGGAACCCAAUUGCAAGAAGUGAAUUGUUUGGCCAUUUUGAUGACAAACUGUAAAGGAAGUGCAAAUGUCGGUUCACGGUUCAAGAUUGAUAUGCAUAGACUGGUAUCAAACCAGAGAAUUUAAUCAAAAGCGUGUGUGUACAUUAAACCGGAGAUGGAUGUUCAGGGACAAAUGGCGGUUUACAAGAGGGCUAACGGUACCUACCGGAUUGUCGUUUUCUACAGGUUAAACCGCCUAUAGUGGCACGAAGGGCAAUAGAUCUGAAAAUUACUAAGUGCUACACAAAUAGGUUUCACAGACUAAGGAUUAUUACUUUGGAUAUAACAUAGUUCAGGAAAAAGAAAAAAUGUUAAGGCCCUAAAAUAGCAACAGCGGAACAGAAAGGAGCCAGAUGAGAUUUGUUCGUGGUCCUAAAGGUAUUAUGCGGAGGCAAAAUAAACUAAAAGCUUCGGCCGCAGAAGGAAAAGGUCAAGUUGAUCUUGAUUCAAUAAGAUAGUAAGGGCAGAAUAAUGAGCAUGGACGAACACUGAUGAACACAGACGAACACCAAAACCCUAAUGCAGAUCUAGGAUUGAGGGAAAGGGGUUUACCAGAUUCACAGGAGUAGCGGAAGAGAACCGCAGAUCUCUGGUGCGUUCAGGUUGAUGCAGCGGCCAGGGAUGAGGCAGAGCUUGAAGGUCGAUGGCGGCGGCGGAGCUGUCGAGCUUGAGCGUAGAGAGGAAGAAGAAGAAGUGCGGAAGGAGAAAAGGGAAGGACCCCUAGGCCUAUUUAUAAGGCAAAUGGAUGAAGGAGGCAAGCGCGAGAAUCGAGGAGCCCGAAAUGAUAAAAUGGGGCACAACUGUCGCCUCGAUCUUCGGAGUCAGUUAAUGAAAGGGAAUCUUUAUGAGUUUUUUAUGCAGAUGACGUGAUGGCAGUUUAUGGUGAUUUCCAAAGAUGAUGUCAUGUAGGUUUAAAGUUAAUAUGAAGAUGUUUCAGAUCAGAAUUUUUCUAAGUUGAAGAUUGACAUGAACAGGUUCAAAUCAAUCUAGGGCCUAAUGUUGAGGAUAUAACUACUGAGUGUAAACCGCCCAGGAGGAGCCGGUUCACGCUCAUCUAUAUUGAAGCUCAUGAAGACAAAGAAGAUGACGCUCUACUAUUAAAGCUUAGAGGCCCAGAGCCCAAAGGAGGAUUAGGGCCCAUAGUUGUAAACUGCCAUAAUCAUAUAACUUGUAUUGUAAGAUAGGGAGAGGAAGAGACCGAGCCGGACACUUGUAUGAGCCAGCCUCGGGACUCUGUAAACCGGCCGGGCGUCAAGCUGUGUAUAUAAAGGGAUGACCCGGCGGCAGUUCAGGAACAAAAAACAACAACUCGAGACUCAGGCAAAGCGUAUUCGCUCCCUGCUCAUCGAGAUCAAUCAAUCCCACAACAACUAGACAUAGGCUUUUACCUUCGUCGUAAGGGGUUGAACUAGUAUAAAACUCUCGUGUCCCUUGUCUGGUUUAACCCCUUUAAGCUAAUCUUGUUGCGAUGGCUCCACGACUAAGUCCUUCUGCUAGGACAUCUGAUGUGUUAAUUCCAUGACACUGGUAUUUCGGCUUCAUCCUCGCGAGGAGCCCUCGAUCAGGUCCACGGGCACCAGCACCCCUCAUGUCCGUGCCCCCUGGGCAGCGCGACACGGUGCAUCGGGUCCGAGCUAAUCUAUGGAAGGGGACUCACGUAAGGGGGAGUGAGCCGCUCGACAAGUUUUCUCUUCCUUCAAAGGACAGCUCUGUCACGGCUCCUAAGAGCACAAGGCGUAUCUUCCGGGGGCUGCAUCAAAGACUCCCCGGGGAAGGGGGCCCCGUCAAGUACCUGAGGUCAGGUCCUCGUGAGGCAAAAAACGACUACACAUACCAAGCUAAGCUCUCCUACCUUAACUCACUCAGAUCGCAAACAUUACAACGCAGUAUCAAGAUGGCAAUUAUAACAUAAAAGGUAUAACAGCAAUAGUUCAUUACACGCCCCCGCAGGGUACAUCUUUCUUUUUUCGGAUUGCAGGAGAAAGGAAAAGCUAAACAAAGAGGGCCUGAAGACGUAUGAGCUCGGCACCAGUGCCGCAUCCUCAAGCAGCGCCUCAAGGUGACCUGGCGUGCCACCAGUUCUCCCAUAGGUGACCCGGGGCCGCCGGCCUUGAGUCCAAGUUCGUCGGCCCCCAGCUUCACGCCGGGCUCCUCUCUAGCUUCACUAGAGCACCGCGGCAGGACGAACCCCCGACAUCCUCGACCCAAGCACGACGACGCAGGGGCUGGUCGUAUCCGCCACUGCUUGAGCUCUCAUCCGAGGAAGAGCUGCCGUCUCGGGAGGGGGAGCGCGCAUCGCCAAGAACAAGCUCAUCAUCGCCACCGUCGUUGUUGCUGCCAUCCUCCGGGCAGCACCCCACGCGGCGGGCGUCCUCCCUGAACAGCCUCACGUAGAGGGUCGCCAGGCCGUCGUACUUAAAGUGGAGGUUGCACCUUCCGCCCAGGCCACACGCGCGGGCAAAGGUCUGCCAGCCACGAGUCAGGACCACGCUACCGGAGGCGGUGACCUCGGUACCAACAGAUGAAGCCCUGCUGCAGCAGCCCUCAGCCUGCAGCCAGAGACCAUUGGGCCCUGAAGAAGGAAGCUCGCCAGAGAAGAAGGGUGGGAGGCAAAGCAAGGUGCCAGUCGGGCUCUCCGACCACACCACGAACUCAGGGAGCACGUCCAGCAAGGAGAAGCGCGGCCGAGGCGGGCGCACGAUCACGGCAUGCCUUCCUUCAUCAUGGGGGCUGCUCUGAAGCCGGUGGGCCCCGCCGUGGGAAGAGGUGCCAUUGUGGGCGCCUAGAGCAAUGCUUCCUAUGGGGGGCGCGCCCCCGCGCCCCCUAGAAGCUGCCGGAGGGACCGCGGAGUGCUUUCGGGGACAACCACGACCCCUCUUGAGAGGAGGAGAGGCUGGCCCCUCCUUGGAAGCUUUCCCCUUCUCGGCCGCUGAAAACCUCUUCGGGGAUGCCAUGGGAGCAAGACGGAGAGGAGAAAAGCAGGCGGGAGCAAGACCAACGAAAGAUGGGCGGGGGGCUCUGCCCCUCCCUCACAUUUAUAGCCAAGGGAGGCCAACCGCCGGCCUCCAUGACCUCAUGCCAUCAUGACCUUCUGCAUGUCGCAUCGACCAGUCAAGUUGAGCAGUUGUCGAGGCAGCAUGGGGAAGCAAAGUCGCCCACAUCCCAUCAAUCGCCAUGCAUCAUCAAGGCCGCAAGCGGUUAGGGCCCGCGGCGCUCCGCACUUGCCCUUUGGCUUCGCCUGGAAGCCAAGUCCGAGCGCGCCUUGGGCCUGGGGGCUAAUGUUGGCGUCCUGGAUUCGGGGGUAUCCAGCCCUGCCUGCCUGCGGCCCACCACGUGGCUCCAUCGACGGCCUGGUACGGCCCAGCUUCAACAUCAACAACGCAAGACCCUCCUGAGGAGACAAGCCUCGCAAGGUAGGCGACGCCAAGACCCCAGAAGGAACUGGCCUCCUUGGGCUGGCUCCUGAGGGGCGGAGAGUUCUAUGCAGGUUACCCCACGAGGCUCAGCUGACGUGAGCCAUGACGACCAAGGCCGAGCGGGCACCACGCGGGCGCAGGCGGGCGCAGAGUGCAGGUUUCCUCUUUCGUGCAAAGGAGGCAAGCCAUAGGCGCGGAGUCCCGAGGAACCAGCCAAAGGUUUCCAUUCUGCUGCAACAAGACCAAGACCACCAGGAUGGCAGGACGGAGGUCAUCAACGAGCCCACUACGGUGUCAUGACCAGAGGCUUUUCGCAGGUGAGGACUACUUUUGUCAGGAUAGACUGUACUACUUGUCCCCUUUCAAAUCCGGCCAUUGUAGGAUCCCUUCCCGCUCAUAUUUGGGAAGAGGGCCAAGGCCACUAUAAAGAGAACUAGCCACCACCAUAGAAAGGGGACGAAAUCAGAACAAGUAGAACUAGCAUACACCACACUAGCACAAGAACACCUCACCUCCUGAGGCUUGUUCAUCCUCUAUACUAGCUCAGCCUCAGCCCUUCGAGGCGAUCCACCAAAACGCUGGAGUAGGGUAUUACACCACAACGGUGGCCUGAACCAGGAUAAAACUGCCAUGUCUCUUUGUCCCUUUGAGCUUGACACGCUAGGCUUAGGAGGUUCGCGAGUAGGUAGGCUGGGUAGGUUGAGAUCGCCGCACUGACCCCAGAGUUUGACCUCACGGGUUUGCGGAUCCCACAAUCCGACAAGUGCGAUAAUGAUGUCUUUGUUGCUGAAUGUUCUACUGCUUUUGAUGUUGCAAUAUCUUCAACUGUUGAUGUGGUAACUAACCCCUCUACUGAGGAUGCCACUACUAUUGCUGAUGAGAAUGCUAGGUUGAAGACAUUGCUUGAGACUGGCAUGUACAAAAGCCUCAAACGGCAUCAAACCUUGUGUGAUGUCAUCAAGAAAUAGAUUCUGAACCGAAACCCUAGGAAAGAGGGUGUUGGUUUCGAGAGGAAAAUGAACGUUGAUGGCUCAUAUUGGACGCCUGAGCAGUACCCCAAAACCACCUGGGUUGCUGCUAAGGAUCCUUCAGUUGACCCAUCCAUGUUAUCUGGCUUCACUUGUGCUAACCCAAUUGUCAUUGAUGAAUCCUUUGAUGCAAACUAUAAACUAUUUAAGAAUCAGAAUGGUGAAGUGUUUGCCAGGUACAUUGGUACUAACUGUAGGAACGGUUCACCCCAGAAGAAGAUAUGGGUGCCCAAAAUUUGUCUUGAGAAGCUUCCCGUGAAUGUCAUCAGGAUACCACCGGGGAAGAAGACAAACCCCCUACCAAAGGCAUCAUAUGGUCCAAAGGCUUCAUUCAGACAGAGGACCACUCAUGGUCACCAUAACACCAAUGUUUUGCAGGAGAAUUGCUAUGAGACUCGUGAAUAUGAGCGUGUUUCCUCUAACCGCUAUGUUCACAAAACUAAGAACUUUUAUGCAUAUUCUUAUGAGUACUAUUCUCCUCCUGCGAAGCUAUUUGCUAGGGCUCCCAAGCCAAAGUUCUCAGAUGCUACACUUAGACUCAUUGCUUCUAAGCCACCCUGAAGAUGUGGGUUGUUAAGAAGAGUUAACUUUUCUUGCAGGGAAAGGUCUCCAGUCAGAAAGCAAAAUCUUCUGACGACAAUGUUGGAGACCUAAAACAUCUUGUGGGACGCAAGAUAAAAUGCUCCAAUGGUCUUAUCAUGUAUUUCGUCCUAGGGUUCCUUGACGUGCAUCCUAUCAUGCCUAACCAGAAUUUAAACUUUGAUAAUAUGCUUGUUCGCUACAUGUCUCUGCUUCACAAUACUCUUGGUGAAGCAUAUCCCGCUAACUGCACUGUAGGGUACAACUCCAAAAGCCACUGAAUGGAUCAUGGACAUCAGCUGCACCAACCACAUGACUGGUGAUUCAAGUCUUCUUAUGGAUUCAACCCUACGUCCAUCUACUAAGAGCCACAUCACAUUCAUUGACACUGGUAAAAGCAAGGUAUUAGGUCUUGGUAGAGUUGCUAUCUCAAAAGAUCAGCACAUGGAUAAAGUGAUGCUUGUUGAAUCCCUUGGUUACAACUUAAUGUCUGUGUCAAUGAUCUUUGAUCUCAACAUGAUUGUGAUAUUUGGAAAAUAUCAUUGUCUUGUGCUAAUGGAAUCUAACAAAUCUCUAGUCUUUGAAGGCUAUCGAAGAGGUGAUCUGUAUAUGGUAGAUUUCUCAGCAGGACCCCAGCUUGCCGUAUGUCUUCUAGCAAAGGCUUCAGAAUGCUCGCUAUGGCAUCUACGGCUAGGACAUGCGGGCAUGAGAAACCUGUACACUCUCGCAAAGAAGAAGCACAUAAUUGGCAUCAAGGGUGUCAAGUUCAAGAAGGAUCAUCUAUGUGGUGCCUGUGAAGCUAGAAAGAUGACAAGAGCCAAGCAUCCCUCAAAGACAAUCAUGACUACCUCACGCCCCUUCGAGCUGCUUCACAUGGAUCUAUUUGGCCCUACUCACUACUCUACUCUUACUACUACUGCACAUCUCCAUGGCUUCGUUGUUGUUGAUGAUUACUCUAGAUACACCUGGGUGCACAUAAUUCUCUAUAAGACUGAAGUGUAGGAUGUCUUCAGACGCUUCGCAAACCGGGCCAUGAUGAAAUAUGGCAUCAAGAUCAAGCACAUCCGGAGUGACAAUGGCACUGAGUUCAACAACGCCGGCCUCGACAUUUAUCUUGAUACCUUGGGCAUCACACAUGAGUUAUCUUCUCCUUACACACCUCAGUAGAAUGGCAUCGUAGAGCGCAAGAACAGAACACUCAUUGAGAUGGAACGAAUGAUGCUCGAUGAGUACAAGACUCCAAGAAAAUUCUGGCCUGAAGCUAGUGAUACUGCAUGCCACAUCAUCAACAGAGUAUAUCUUCACAAGUUCUUCUAGAAGACAUCUUAUGAACUUAUGACUGGUAAAAAGCCAAAUGUCAGUUACUUUAAAGUCUUUGGUGCUAGGUGCUGGAUCAAAGAUCCACAUCACACGUCUAAAUUCGCACCGAAAGCACAUGAAGGUUUUAUGCUUGGUUACGGAAAGGACUCGCACACCUACAGAGUCUUCAACCUCUUUAACUAUAAAGUGGUUGAAACUGUAGAUGUGCGGUUCGUUGAGACUAACAGCUCGCAAAGAGAGCACCUGCCAAAUGUGCUAGAUGAAGCUACACCGGGUGAAGCUGUCAAGUUGAUGGGUACUGGAGAAAUCAUACCCACAGAGGAACAAGCUGAGGAUGAGAUUAUCAUUUCUGCACCUAAUCAACCUGAAGACAAUGCUCAGUCCGAAGCCAAUGCUAAAGACGAAGACAACAAUUAGUCAGAUCAAAAUCUUCGUCCAGCUCAUCCUCGGGUUGCAAAUGAAGUCCAGGUUGAGGAGAUCAUUGAUAGCAUCAACUCUCCUGGCCCUCUCACUCAUCAAGAGCUACACAACUAGCAAACUUCUAUGGUCACUUUGCCUUUGUCUCUAUAUCUGAACCCAAGAAAGUCAAAGAAGCCUUCAUGGAACCUGAAUGGAUUCAAUCUAUGCAAGAAGAGCUUCAAUAGUUUGAACUGAAUAAUGUCUGGGAGCUUGUCAAACAUCCUGAUCCUCGCAAGCACAGUGUCAUUGGCACGAAAUGGAUCUAUCACAACAAGCUAGAUGAACUUGGACAACUUGUCAGAAACAAAGCUCGCCUUGUUUCUCAAGGUUACACUCAAGUGGAAGGUAUAGACUUCGAUGAAACCUUUGCUUCUAUGGCACGGCUUGAAGCCAUUCGCAUACUGCUGGCUUAUUCCAACCAUCACAACAUUCUUCUGUACCAAAUGGAUGUGAAGAGUGCCUUUCUCAAUGGCAAAAUCGAAGAAGAAGUGUAUGUCGCUCAACCACCUGGUUUUGAAGAUCCUAAGCAUCCCGAUAAGGUGUACAAACUCAAUAAGGCACUGUAAGGCCUCAAACAAGCACCUCACGCUUGGUAUGGCACACUCAAGGAAUUCCUGAAGAGCAAAGGCUUCAAACCUGGUUCACUAGAUCCCACUCUCUUCACGAAGACAUAUGAUGGUAAAUCAUUUGUGUGUUAAAUAUACGUGGAUGACAUUAUCUUCUGAUGCACUGAUAAGAGAUACAGUGACGUUCGGAUACAUAAUGCAAGAGCAAUAUCAGAUGUCCAUGAUGGGGGAGCUGAAAUUCUUCCUUGGUCUUCAAAUCCAUCAACAUUGCAAUGGCAUCUUCAUAUCGCAAGAAAAAAUACCUCAAAGAUUGCCUGAAAAAGUUUGGAAUGCAAGACUGCAAAGGGUACACGACGCCAAUGACAACCAAAAGUCAUCUCGGCCCUCACAACAAUGGUAAAGAGUUCGAUCAAAAGGUAUACCGCUCCAUGAUUGGUUCUUUGCUCUAUUUAUGUGCAUCUAGGUUUGAUAUUAUGCUUAGCGUUUGCAUGUGUGCCCGAUUCCAAGCGGCACCAAAGGAGUCGCAUCACCUUGCGGUGAAGCGAAUACUUAGAUAUUUGGCUCACACCCCAACACUAGGAUUAUGGUAUCCAAAGGGCUCAACAUUUGAUCUGGUUGGAUAUUCUGAUGUUGAUUAUGCUGGUGACAAGGUUGAUCACAAGUCCACUUCAGGAACAUGUCACUUUCUUGGAAGAUCUCUUGUCUAUUGGUCUUCAAAGAAGCAGAACUGUGUAUCACUCUCCACUGAUGAAUCUGAAUACAUUGUUGCUGGAUCGUGAUGUGCUCAGCUUCUCUGGAUGAAGCAAACUCUCAAGGACUCUGGCAUCAACACGAAGAAUGUGCCACUCUUCUGUGACAAUGAAAGCACCAUCAAGCUCUCCAAGAAUCUAGUCCAGCACUCGAAGACAAAGCACAUUGAGAUUCGUCAUCACUUUCUCAGAGAUCAUGUCAACAAGGAAGACAUUGAUAUCAUUCACGUCAACACUGAAGAGCAAUUGGCUGAUAUCUUCACUAAGCCCUUGGACGAGAAGAGGUUUUGCAAGCUGCGGUGUGAGCUAAAUAUCUUAGAAUCCUCAAAUGUCUAGUGAAUGGACACACAUCCUAAUGCUUAUGCGUGUUGAUGACUUAGAUGUGCAACACAUGAAGUAACGUAUUUCUUCAAUCAAUGAAGACUUACCCUCUAAGUGUGAAUACAUUAAUGUGGAAUUUGACUUCGGAGCGCCACGAUAAUUGUGCGUCGUGUCUAGGUCUAAUACUUCCUAUACGGUGGGUAAUGCCACAGCCACAACUUCUCGAAGAUUUUCAUUUGGCGUCAUGAGUGCAUUAUCUUCACUUUUGGAUUGUCUUCAAUAUUGGUUUAUCUUCAAAAUCUAUAUCUUAGCAAUGUUGAUUUGUCUUCAAUGAUAAUUAUAUAUAUCUUCAUACGUGUUCUGUCCUCUACAGCAUUCACUUAUAGCUAUGUCUUCAUGUUGCUUUUUUCUGACCAAAUGAAUGUGAUCGGACUCUAAUCCCUUCUGUGCUACUUCCUCAAAUUCUUUCUGUCUAAGUCAUGUGCAUUCUGUUGACACUUGUCAAAUAUCUUCUCGAUGUCCAUGUCAGCAGAAGAUACAGAGACACACUUUUAAAACUGCUUUUAGUGUCUUAUCCUUUGCCUGAAAAAUGGAGAAGCCGGAACGACCACCCAACAAUCCAGACGUGCGUGGGAACAUAGAUCAACUCCUGAUAAGUUGCAUGCACGCCAUGUGUCCUACAGAUGUGAACCUCCAGGGGCACCUGCGUAAUUGCACUACGCCGCCCUCCUCCUUCCUAUAAAUGCACACCCCUCGCGGUCAAUAUCUUUUCUUCCACCUCGACACCUCGCUCAAACCCUAGCGCCACCGCGAGCUCGCGUUGACGCCGGAGACGAAGCGCUUAGCUGCCGCGACUUCUUCGACGCCAUCCUCACGCCGGCCGCGGACCUCUUCUCUCUGCUGCUGCCGUAGGUGUCUUCCGCCGCCAAGUUAGGGCACGGGAGAUUGGACUGCUCGGACUCCCUUCUACAUCGUCUAGCAGUUCAUCUAUGGUAAUUAAAACUCACUUUUUAUAGUCUUUUCGAUCUGUCAAAUCCAUCCACUUCAACCAAAAGUGGUUUGUACACUUCCAAAUCUGGAUCUGUCUCUUUCUAAAUCUCAUAUAUUGCAAAGUAUAUUCACUUAUGCGUCAAAACUAGUUAGAUUCCUCACUUGUACCUAUUCGUGGAUUCUUACAAAUCUGGAACCAACUUCCUUCAAUAAGUGAAUGUCUUUGCACUGCGAGGUACAUGUCUGUGGGAGAAUCCCUUGGUUCUCAUGGUCUGCAUUCAUUUGCAGAAUUCUUGCAGUGUCACAUCGAAUCUCCUGAAGCCAGUUCUUUUCUAACCAGCAGACGGAAGCCUUUCACUGUAUUGAAGCCAAUCAGUCUGAACAUUAUGGAUUCAGAGAAGUCUGCACGAAAAGGAGGCAGGCAACACCGUGGCAACACUGUGGUUGAUUUGCCUGAAGAUCUUUAUGAACUCUACAAGUCUGACCAUGAAGAGAGCUACAACCAGUGCAAAAACCCGAUCCAGUGGAUCCGAAGAUAUUGUGCAGGGCAAUGGUUCAAGUACAGGUUUGUAACACCUGAAUAUGCUGAGAAAAAUGCCAUCAAGCACCCUUGGGGUGAUUGUCUGUACCGCAACUUGGUACCGAAGACUAAGGCUGAAGCUAUUGAACAGGAGUUCUAUCCCUGUAUGGUCAGAGGACCACAGCCUGAGAAUGCCGACCCAUCAUCUCUUCUAUGGUGUCGUGAAGACAAUCUCUUCAAGCGCAACUUUCAGUUUGCAAGAGAUUCAGCUGUUAAGAACUAGAAGGAGUUUGGCCUCAACUUCAACCCUUCCCCUCUGCUCCCAGGUCAGAUGGAACUCGUGAAGCCAAUGAAAAUAGGAUUGGCCCCUUCGCCAACUUCAAUGUGCUUCUGUCUCAUAUUGCUGCCUAGAGAGCUGUUGUGGAGCAAUCUGCUGAAGAAGCAGAUUCUGAUAAUGCUCCAUCACCACCAAAGCAGCAGAAGAAGAAGAAGGCAAAAGCUUCAAAGCCAUCUGCCCCUGCUGCUCCAAAAGCUUCAACCAAGAAGUCACUAAAAUCUGCAGCUCCUGAAUCCAAUGUGUAGUCUGAAGAUUUGUCUCGUGUGUCCAAGAGGACCAACAAGCCAUUGCCCAAGAAGGCUACUGGGCAACCCCUCACUCCUACUGCCGUUCUCCGCAACGAGGAAGACACCAUUGAUCUGUCAAGCGAUGAAGAUCUUUGUGAUGAAGCUCUAGAGAUGUUGAUCAAGAGCAAGCAAGAGGCGGAGAUCUUCAGUGAUCUGCCCCUCUUUGGUGUUGACAUCUUGAAUAACUUCAUUGAUGAGUGGUUCGACGACCAAAACAUCAGCAUUGACAGUCUGCAGCUGCCAGUGGGCAUCAGCGUCACAUUCCAUGGAGCCAUUGAAGAUGAGCUUGCCCUGGCACUGAGCAUCAUCAAGCUCAAAAAUAAGAUUGAUUAUGAGAAGGCUCAUUUCAAGAAGAACAUGCACAAGCUCGGUGUGACAGAUGUGCAAAUCUUAAAGAAGAUGUUGCAUGAUGUCUACUACACAACCUUCUUCUUGUAGACGUUGUUGGGCCUCCAAGUGCAGAGGUUUGUAGGACAGUAGCAAAUUUCCCUCAAGUGGAUGACCUAAGGUUUAUCAAUCCGUGGGAGGCAUAGGAUGAAGAUGGUCCCUCACAAACAACCCCGCAACCAAAUAACAAAGAGUCUCUUGUGUCCCCAACACACCCAAUACAAUGGUGAAUUGUAUAGGUGUACUAGUUCGGCGAAGAGAUGGUGAUCCAAGUGCAAUGCGGAUAGUAGAUAUAGGUUUUUGUAAUCUGAAAUUAUAAAAACAGCAAGGUAACUAAUGAUAAAAGUGAGCAAAAACGGUAUUCCAAUGCUUCGAAACAAGGCCUAGGGUUCAUACUUUCACUAGUGCAAGUUCUCUCAACAAUAAUAACAUAAUUGGAUCAUAUUGUAAGUGCAUCUAGUGCCACCCCUAGUUGGUUUUGGAGUAUUGACGACAAAGUUGGUUGAGGGACUAAUGCGUUUGUAAGAAUUGCAGGAUAACGCAGGUAGUGUCCCUCAUUGAUUCGUUUUACCUACCGGAGAUGACCCCUAAAAAUGUAUGAAGACAUUGAAGACAAUGGUGGUAUGAGAAGAUAUUCACAUUGAAGACUAUGACAUGAGAAGACAUUGCGUGAAGACUUUGGAGCGCGAAGACUGUGUGGUUUCGUUGUUUCCUUUUCUUCUUUGUUGAGUCAUAGGAACCACCAUACUGUUAAGUGGGGUCCAAGUGAACUAAGUCAGAGUGACUGAAGUGAUGCUCAACCCAAAUCCUAUGUCUUCGAGCGAAGACAAUGAGAGCAAAUCUUAUCCAGAGCUGGAUGAGUCAGCUUUGCUUGUAGCCCAAGUAAAGUUGCCGCGUGUGUUUGAAAUCUGACCGUUGGAACACGUGUCAGUUCCUUAGUGACCUAGGGUCAUUUUGGACAAAUCAGGUCGGGUUGCCUAGUGGCUAUAAAUAGCCCACCCCCUACACCAUAAAUUGGUGGCUGCUCAGAGUUUGUGCACGGCUUUUGUCGUUUGAGAGCAACCCACCUCGAAGCAUUUGAGAGAGAGAGAAAUCCUUGCAAGGACAAAGCCCAAACACCCAGAGCCAGAGAGUGUUAGGCAUCACUGAAGUCUUUCUGUCUGUGUGACCUGAAGACUUAUUACACUUGAGGACUGUGAAUCCUCCAGCCGUUUAGGCGUCACGUUCUGAGCAUCCAAGAGUCAUUGUGGAUUGCCGGUGAACGAAGUCUGUGAAGGAAGUCUCCCUUGAAAACUUACCAGAGUGAUUGGGCGAGGACUGGGUGUCCUUAGCUCAAGGGGAAUAAGGUGAAGACACGGUCUUCUGAGUUAAAUCUCAGCCUCCCUAACCAGACGUACAGUUGUCACAGCAACUGGAACUGGUCCAACAAAUCAUGUGUCUUCAACAAGCAACUGGUUCUAUCCCUUCCAACCUUACUUCAGUUUGUCUUCAUGAAGUCAUUGCUUAUCUGCUUAUCUGUUUGACUUCAUUGCUUGACUACUAUUGUUUAUUGGCUUCAGACUGUCUUCCAUCCUGAUCCUUACUACCUUACUGCUAUUAGUCAUGUACUUUCACAUCAUUAUAUACUUGACUAUGGCUUGUUCAGGGUAGUUUAUCUUCCGCUGCAUAUCAAUUAGGUUGUUUCUGUUGUUUGUCUUCGAAACCUACAAGUUUUGAAGACUUUCAUAAAAAUCGCCUAUUCACCCCCCUCUAGUCGAUACUAGCACUUUCAAUUGGUAUCAGAGCGAGGUACUCCCUUGUUCUGUGUGAUUCGGUUUAACCAGCUGGAGUUUCAGCUAUGUCGACUGCAGGGAUAAUCAAGGUCUCCGCUGCUUGCCCCGUGUUCGAUGGAACUGAAUAUCCCUACUGGAAGAAUAAGAUGCGCAUGCAUCUUGAAGCCAUUGAUGUCGACCUCUGGUAUGUCGUCAAGAAUGGCGUUCCCAAGACUGGUGAAGGUGUCACCCCCACUAAUGUCAAGAAGUUUGUUCAACUGGACUCUACUGCGAAGAACAUCAUCUGUGGUCAUCUGACCAAAGGACAGUAUGGUCGUGUGAGUGCUCUGGAAACGUCGAAGCUAGUCUGGGACUGGCUAUCCAAGGUCAAUGAAGGUGUUUCAACCCAGAGAGAUCAAAGAAUCAGUGUUCCCCACAACCUCUUCAACCGCUUCAAGAUAAACGACAAUGAGAAUGUCCAGCUCACGUUUGAUCGCCUCACUGAUAUCACAAAUGAACUUCAAGCUCUUGGCGCAACUGAAAUUACCAAGCAUGAAAUCGUCUAGACACUGCUAAGAUCACUUGACAGCUCCUUUGACACCCUUGCCCUCAUGAUACAAGAACGUCCUGACUUUAAGACACUCGAUCCGUCUGAUAUACUUGAGAGGCUCAACACACAUGAGUUCCAGCUAUCUGAGAAAAGAGAUAUCUAUGGUCCAAGCUAUGGCCAAACUCGUGCUUUGAAGGCGAAAGUUGUUUCCUCAUCUGAAGAAGAAUCUAACUGCAGUUCUGAAGAUCCUGAAGACAUUGGAAGGGAACUUGCUAUGCUUGUGAAGAAGUUCUAGAAAUUCACGAAGAAGAAAGGCUUCAGAAAGUCUUCACGAUCUAGCUCAAGGAAUGAUGAAGCUUCCACACAUGAUCACAAGAAGAGAACCUGCCACAAGUGCAAGAAACCUGGUCACUACAUAUCUGAGUGUCCACAGUGGGACAAUGAGAAGAAGAAGAAGAAAAGCAAGGAAUAUGAUUCUGAUGACAAGAAGAAGAAGAAAUCCUCAAAGUCUUCUAAGUUUUCUUCCAAGUCUUCAUCAUAUAAGAAGAGCUUAUCUGGCAAGGCUCGUGCUUUUGUUGGCAAGGAAAUGGAUUCAGAGGAGGAGUCUGCUUCUGAGGAGGCGGAGGUGGAGUCUGGAGAGGAGUCUGGAGAGGAGUCUGACCCUGGUGUUGCAAGUCUGGCCCUAGCCACAGCCUAUGUUGCCAAGUCCAUCUUCAACACUGAAGACAAUGACUUCCACACCAACGCUGAAGCUAAUGACGAAGACGAUCCUACUCCCACCUACUGCUUCAUGGCACGUGGUGCCACAGUAAAAUCACGCGAUGCUUACUUUCAAACUUCAAGUGAAGAUGACUCUGAUUGUGAAUCCAAACCCAGCUAGAAAACACUUGCUAAAAUUGCAACUGAACAACAAAAGGCUAUGGAACAUACUCAAAAACUGUUAGACAAAAGCGAUGACCUAUUGGACGCUGAAAUGACACAUUCACAGUCCUUAGUUGAUGACAUAAAAAGUCUUCAUGCUAAGUACCAAGAACUUGAAGGUCGUCAUGAAUCACUCUCAACUACUUAUGAAAAGCUCUCCUAUGAUUAUCUUCAAAGGAAACAAGAGCUUGAGAAAUUGAGAGCGGCUCAUGAAGAUCUUCAAAAGGUGAAUGAGUCACUUCGCGCCCAACAGAUCAGUUCCGCUCAGGAAGGAUUUGAACCACCAUGUCUAAAAUGCAUUGAGCGUGAUAAUGCUACAUCUGUUGCUGAAUGUUCCACUGUUGCUACUGUUUCAUUGUCUUCACCUACUGAUGUGGUCACUAACCCCUCUGUGGAGGAUACCACUGCUGUUGCUGAUGAAAAUGCUAUGUUGAAGACAUUGCUUGAAACAGGGAUGUACAAAAGUUUGAAGGGACAUCAGACUCUCUGCGAUGUCCUCAAAAAGCAGAUUCUGAACCGAAACCCUAGGAAAGAGGGUGUUGGGUUCGAGAGGAAAAUGAAUGUUGAUGGCUCGUACUGGAAGCCUGAGCAGUACCCCAAAACCACAUGGGUUGCUGGAAAGGAACCUUUAGUGGAUCCAUCUACCUUAUCUGGCUUUACCUGUGCUAAUCCUAUUAUCAUUGAUGAAUCCUUUGAUGCAAACUAUAAGCUGUUCAAAAAUCAGAAUGGUGAAGUGUUUGACAAGUACAUUGGUACUAACUGCAGGAAUGGACCACCUAUGAAGAAGAUCUGGGUACCUAAGCGGUACAUUGAGAAUCUUCCUGUGAAUGUCGUCAUGACACCACCUAGGAAGAAGAAAAACCCCAGACCUAUACCUUCAUAUGGCCCAAAGGCUUCAUACAGAUACAGGACUCACAUGAGUCACCCUAACGCCAAUGUUUUGCAGAGAAAUCAUACUCAGACUUAUGAAUAUGAGCGUGUAUCUUUGAACCGCUAUGUUCAUAGGACUAAGAACUUUUCUGCUUAUUUAUAUGAGUAUCAUUCAUCUCCUGCAAGGCUAUUUGCUAGGGCUUCAAAGCCAAAAUUCUCAGAUGCUGCACUUAGACUCAUUGCUUCUAAGCCCCCACUGAAAAUGUGGGUGGCAAAGAAGAACUAACUCUCUUUUGCAGAAAAUGGUCUCCAGCCAGCAAUCAAUGGCGUCUGAUACUAUUGCUGGGGACCUAAAACUUACUAAGGACGCACAAUGAAAUGUCAUUCUAUAUACUUCAUCUGAAUUUCUUAUCAGUCAUACUAUGUCCUAACCUUGAUAUAAGCUGUGAAUAUCCCUAUAUGUAUCAAAUACAUAUGCUUCACAACACUUGUGUGAAGCCUAUCCUCCUAACUGCACUGUAGGGUACAUCACCAAAAGCUUCAGAAUGGAUUAUGGACAGUGGAUGGACAAAUCAUAUGACUGGUGAUCGAAGUCUUCUCAUGGACUCAACCUUACGUCCAUCCGACAAGAGUCACAUCACAUUUGCUGACACUGGUAAAAGCAAAGUAUUGGGUCUAGGUAGAGUUGCAAUCUCAAAGGAUCAACACAUGGAUAAAGUGAUGCUUGUUGAAUCCCUUGGUUUCAACUUAAUGUCUGUCUCAAUGCUUUGCGACUUGAACAUGAUUGUGAUAUUUGGCAAAUAUCGUUGCCUUGUACUAAUGGAAUCUGACAAAUCUCUAGUCUUUGAAGGGUAUCGAAAAGAUGAUCUGUACAUGGUAGAUUUCUCAGCAGGUCCACAGCUUGCUGUAUGUCUUCUCACAAAGCUUCAGAAUGCUGGCUCUGGCAUCGAAGGCUGGGACAUGCUGGCAUGAGGAACUUACACUCACUCGUCAAGAAGAAGCAUGUCAUAGGCAUCGAAGAUGUCAAGUUCAAGAAGGAUCAUCUGUGUGGUGCCUGUGAAGCUGGAAAGAUGACAAGGGCAAAGCACCCCUCGAAGACAAUCAUGACAACAUCUCAACCCUUUGAGCUGUUACACAUGGACUUAUUUGGACCUACUCACUGCUCCACCCUCACAACAACUGCCUGUCUCUAUGGCUUCGUCAUUGUUGAUGACUACUCAAGAUACACAUGGGUUCAUAUAAUUCUGUACAAUAUUGAAGUGCAAGAUGUCUUCAGACGCUUUGCAAAUCGAGCAAUGAACAAUUAUGGUGUGAAGAUCAAACAUAUCAGAAGUGACAAUGGCACUGAAUUCAAGAACACUGGACUUGAUCUGUAUCUGGAUACAAUGGGAAUCGCUCAUGAGUUCUCUGCUCCAUACACACCUCAGCAAAACGGCAUUGUGGAGCGCAAAAACAGAAUCCUCAUUGAGAUGGCUCGAACUAUGCUAGAUGAGUACAAGACACCAAGAAAGUUCUGGCCUGAAGCUAUUGAUACAGCAUGUCACAUCAUCAACCGUGUAUACAUCCAUAAGCUUCUGAACAAAACAUCAUAUGAGCUGCUUACUGGCAAGAAGCCAAACGUCAGUUACUUCAGAGUAUUUGGAGCGAGAUGCUGGAUAAAGGAUCCCCAUCACAAAUCAAAAUUUGCACCUAAGGCUCAUGAAGGCUUCAUGCUUGGCUAUGGAAAGGAUUCACACUCAUACAGAGUCUUCAACCUUUAUCUAUACAAAAUCGUUGAAACUGUGGAUGUGAAAUUUGAUGAAACCAAUGGUUCAUAGAGAGAGAUUAUGCCAAGCACACUGGAUGAAGCCCCUUCAAACGAGGCAAUCAAGCUGAUGGGAACUGGUGAAAUCAUGCCCUAUGAAGCACAACCUGAAGAGGAACUUAUCAUCUCUGCACCAAAUCAACCUGAAGACAAUGCUUAGUCCGAAGACAAUCCUCCCAAUGAUGACAGUGACCAGCCACAGCAAAAUCUUCGUCCUGUUCAUCCUCGUGUUGCAAAUGAAGUUCAAAUAGAGAAGAUAACUGACAGCAUCAAUGCACCUGGUCCGCUCACUCGAUCAAAAGCAACACAGCUAGCAAACUUCUGUGGGCACUUUUCAUUUGUGUCAAUAUCAGAACCCAAGAAAGUUGCUGAAGCUUUUAUGGAACCUGAAUGGAUUCAAGCCAUGCAAGAAGAACUUCAACAGUUCAAACUGAAUAAUGUCUGGGAACUUGUCAAGCGACCUGAUCCACGCAAGCAUAACAUUAUUGGAACAAAAUGGAUAUAUCAAAACAAGCAAGAUGAGCAUGGUCAAGUCGUCAGAAACAAAGCACGUCUUGUGGCUCAAGGAUACACUCAAGUUGAAGGAAUUGACUUCGAUGAAACAUUUGCUCCUGUUGCUAGGCUUGAAGAUAUUCGCAUACUACUAGCCUACGCUAAUCAUCACAAUAUCUUGCUAUAUCAAAUGGAUGUAAAGAGUGCAUUUCUCAAUGGCAAGAUUGAAGAAGAAGUGUAUGUCGCACAACCACCUGGCUUUGAAGAUCCAAAACAUCCUAAUAUGGUGUACAAGCUAAACAAGGCACUGUAUGGCCUCAAACAAGCCCCUCGUGCCUGGUAUGAUACAAUCAAAGACUUCCUGAAGAGCAAAGGCUUCAAACCCGGAUCCCUCGAUCCCACUCUCUUCACGAAGACAUAUGAUGGUGAACUAUUUGUGUGCCAAAUAUAUGUGGAUGACAUAAUCUUCGGCUGCACCAACCAGAAGUACAGUGAUGAGUUUGGGUACAUGAUGCAAGAGCAAUAUCAAAUGUCCAUGAUGGGUGAGCUGAAGUUCUUCCUUGGUCUUCAAAUUCGUCAGCAGAGGAAUGGCAUCUUCAUAUCUCAAGAGAAAUACCUCAAAGAUUGCGUGAAGAAGUUUGGAAUGGAAGACUGCAAAGGCUACACGACGCCAAUGCCAGCCAAACACCAUCUUGGUCCCGACGACAAUGGUAAAGAGUUCGAUCAAAAGGUAUAUCGCUCCAUGAUUGGUUCUUUGCUUUAUUUAUGUGCAUCUAGGCCAGAUAUUAUGCUUAGUGUUUGCAUGUGUGCACGAUACCAAGCAGCACCAAAGGAAUCGCAUCACUUAGCUGUGAAGCGAAUUCUUCGAUAUUUGGCUUACACCCCAACACUCGGAUUAUGGUAUCCCAAGGGCUCAAGAUUCGAUUUGGUUGGAUUCUCGGAUGCUGAUUAUGCUGGUGACAAGGUGGAUCGCAAGUCUACAUCUGGCACAUGUCAUUUUCUUGGUCGAUCACUUGUCUAUUGGUCUUCGAAGAAGUAGAACUGUGUAUCACUCUCAACUGCUGAAUCUGAAUACAUUGCUGCUGGAUCCUAUUGUGCUCAGCUUCUAUGGAUGAAGCAAACUCUCAAGGAUUAUGGCAUCAACCUGAAACAAGUACCUCUCUUCUGUGACAACGAGAGUGCCAUCAAAAUAGCCAACAAUCCAGUCCAACACUCGAAGACAAAGCACAUUGAAAUUCGUCAUCACUUUCUCAGAGAUCAUGUUAUGAAGAAAGACAUCGAUAUCAUUCACGUCAGCACUGAAGAGCAAUUGGUAGAUAUCUUCACAAAGCCCUUGGAUGAGAAAAGGUUUUGCAAGUUACGGUGUGAGAUAAAUAUCUUAGAAUCCUCUAAUGUCCUGUGAUCAGGCACACAUCCUAACACUUAUGCAUGUUGAUGACUUAGAUGUGCAACACACAAAGUAAGGUAUAUCUUCAAUCAAUGAAGAUUUACACUCUGAGUCUGAACAUAUUAACAUGGAAUUUGACUUCGGAGCGCCACGAUAAUUGUGCGCCGUGUCUGGGUCUAAUACUUCCUAUACGGUGGGUAACGCCACCACCAACUUUUCUUGUUUGAAGUGUUUCACUCAAGGCGUUAUAUUGCAAUGACUUCGCAUUUGGUUUGUCUUCAGUUUCAAUUUGUCUUCACAACUUUCUGCACUAUGAUGAUUUGAUUGCUUUCUGAUAUAUAGAUACUAGUGUACUGUCCUCUACAGCAUUCACUUAUAGCUAUGUCUUCAAGAUUGGAUCUUUUGAACUAAGUGAAUGUGAUCGGACCCUAACCUCUCUAUGCUUUCUAUCUCAAAAUCUAUCUGUCCAAAUCAUAUGCAUUCUAUUGAAACUGUCGAAUGUCUUCUCUGCGUCCUAGUCAGCAGAAGGCAAAGAGACAAACAUUAAAUCUGUUUUAAUGGCUUAUCUUUACUGUUGAAAUCUGGAGAAGCCGGAACAACUCUCCGACAUGCCUGGCGGGCGUGGGAACGUGGGACAACCCUGAGUGUGUUGCAUGCUUGCCACGUGCCCCUCAGAAGUGAACCGCCAGGGGCACUAGCGUAAUUGCGCUGUGUCUCUCACCUACUUAUAAAUACCUGUCCCCGUGCGGUAAAGAAAUACUUCUUCCACCUCUCCACCUUCGUCAAAACCCUAGCGCCACCGCUAGCUCGCGACGACGCCGGUGACGAAGCACUUAGCUGCCGUGACUUCUCCGACGUCGUCCUCACGCCGGCCGCGGACAUUGUCCUCUCCGCCGUCGCCGUAGGUGUCCUCCGUCGCCAAGUUAGGGCACGGUGGGCUGAACUGCUCGGUCUCCUAUUCUUCUCCAUCUAGCAGUUCUUCGUGCGGUAAUUAUAACUCUGUUUUUACCACCUUUUUGAUCUUCAAAGAUUCAUCCUACUUACUGAAAGUAGUUUCUGUCUAUUCAAAGCUAGAUCUAUUCCGUCUGCAUCUCAUACUGCUUAGUCGAUUCACUGAGAUCUCUUCUAGUUUGAUUCCUCACUUGUACUUAUUCACGGAUUGGUACAAAUCUGGAACCAACUCACCUAUAUAAGUGAAUGUCUUCGCAACAUGAGGUCAAUGUCUUCAACUGAUUUUUUCUUCAAAAUCUUCUGAGAAUGCAUAUGACCUCUUCCCCUUCCCUCGCAUCUCUAAUGCUGUCACAGGUACAUGUCUGUGGGAGAAUCCCUUGGUUCUCAUAGUCUGCAUUCAUUUGCAGAAUAUUUGCAGCAUCAUAUAAAUUCUCCUGAAGCCAGUUCCUGCUUGACCAUCAAGCACAAAUCUCUGAAGCCUUUGAACGUAUUGAAGCCUUUCAGCUUAAAAUUCAUGGCAACAGAAAAAUCAGCAAGGAAGGGUGGCAGACAGCACAGAGAAGGUACAUCUAAGGAUCUGCCUGAUGAUUUAGCAAAACUGUACAAGACAGAUCCGGAGGAGAACUAUCAUCAUAGGAAGACGCGAAUCCAAUGGAUUCGACACUAUUGGGCUGAGGAGUGGUUCAAGUACAAGUUUGUCACAAAGGAAUAUGCAGAGAAGAAUGCCAUCAAGAGACCUUGGGGUGAUAUCCUCUAUCGAGGCCUUCAACCCAAGAGCCGAGCUGAAGCCAUUGAACAAGGCUUCUACCCUUGCAUGGUCCGUGGGCCACAGCCAGCGAACGCAGAUCCCACCUCACUCCUAUGGUGUCGUGACGAUUCGCUCUUCAAGCGCAACUAUCAGUUUACUGUGGCUUCGGCCAAGAAGCACAAGAAGGCCUUGGGUUUGGACUUCAACCCAGGUCCCUCUGCUCCCCGUGCUAAAGGCUCUCGUGAAGCCAAUCCCAAUGUCAUUGGCCCCUACGCCAACCUUGACGGCCUCAUCACCUACAUCAUGGUCCAAGGCGCCAGAGUUGAUCAUUCUGACAAUGGUGCUGAUCCUGAUGAAGCCCCUGCUCCUCCUCCUCCAAAGCCGCACAAGCAAAAGAAGUCUAAGGCUUCAACCUCAGCUGCACCUCCGAAGACUUUGCGUGCGAAGCCACUGGCCACUGCACCUCCUGAAGCCAGUGUGCAAUCUGAAGAUCUGUCCCGUGUCUCCAAGAGAACGGAGAAGAAGAAACAGCUUGUUAGACCAACUGAUCAACGAGCCUUAACUCCUACCACAAUUCUGCAUGACGAACCCAUUGAUCUAUCAAGUGAUGAAGAUCUUGCUGAUGAUGCUCUUGAGCAGCUGAUAAAGAGCAAGGAAGAAGCAGAAAUCUUCAGCAACCUGCCUCUCUUCCAUGUUGCCAUCAUCCACAACUUCAUUGAUGAAUGGUUCGACACCCCCAACAUCAGCUCUGAGGAUUUACAGCUCCCCAUUGGUCUCAGUGUCUCCUUCAAUGGAGCCAUUGCUUCUGAGCUAGCUCUCGCUCAGCGCAUCGUUGAGCUCAAAACAAGAUUGAUUUUGAGAAGGCUCAAUUUAAGAAGCAUGUGGCCAAUCUGAGUGUUCAAGACGUCCGCAACUUCAAGGUCAUGCUCCAUGAGCUCAAAGAAGCUUUUCUGAAGAAACGCCAAGAGGCUCAGGGCUCACGUGAGCGCAUGAAGCUUUUGGCUGACAAGUGUGUGCUUGCCUACAAUGAGGCUGAGAAGCGCAAGUCCCUUGGCCGUCCAGGCAUUGACCCCAGGAUGGCUACAAAGAGGAAGAAGAAGCACCCUGCUGAACAGCCUGAGCCUUCAAGCCAAGAAGCCCCUCGCAUUAUCUUCCCGAGCAGCAUGAUUGGCUCGAAGCCAAAGGUCACCACCACAGCUUCAGAACAGAAGAAGACAAAGGCUGCCGAGGCUGAUGCGAGAAAGAGAAAGAAUACUGAAGCUUCUGAUGCCGCCCCGUCCAAGAAGAAGCGCAAGACCAAGAAGACUAGGGCUGCUUCCACAGAGCCCUUAGUCGUUGAACCCAUUUCCGUGGUUCGCCCUGUGUCUGUUCAUCAAGAACGAAGAUUGGUUGUCCAUGAGCCUGCUACCACAGAGGCUCAUGAGUCUGAAGAUAUUCCAGCAGCUGAACCCAACGCUGCUGUAGACAUUGGUCAAGAUGACAAUGUAAAUGAUGAUGAAGUUCUUCCUCAGAUCGAACAUUAAGUGGUAUCAUCGUCUGUUCGUACGAACAGCGAAAUCAUCAGCAUUGGUCGUCCAUUGACGCCAAUUGCUUAGGAUGCUUCGUGGGCUGAUCACCCACAACACCACCAAGACUCCCCCAGUACUCCCCAACAACAACAACAAGCAACACCCCCAGUGCAAGAAGAGGCUGAAGACUUUCAGGCUUAGCCAAGUCCAUCUCCCAACUUGAAGCCAGCACUUCGCAGGCUUCGCAGAGGACAAAGGCCUGAAGUCCCUCUGUCGAGCGUUCCUGAAGGAGAAGUGCAACGUUCACCAGUUGCACGGCCAGUAUUCUCUGAACCAGCUCCAACAGUGAAUGUCUCCAUGUCUGAAGCACAUACUGCUGAAGACAUUCCGGUUGCAUCAGCCAAAGAAAAAGAAGAAGUUCGUGUACCAACUCCCCCAGCGAUUGAAGAUGAAGCAGUUCCCGAUGUGAACGUGCAUGUGCCCGACCCUCCUGCUCCUCAAGAGGAGGUUGACAAUGUUGAGGCUGCCACCACCAACACCAAUGAAGCCAGUGACGUAGUCAUGGCUGAUGCCAUUGUGGAGCCUGCACCAACCAGUGUGCCUGAAACCAAUGAGGCCCCUGUGCCUGAAGCAAAUUUGGCCACUGAGUCUGAAACCAAUGAGGAUGUUGCCCCUAAAGUCAAUCAGAAUGCUGCACCUGACGCAAAUGAGACUGCUGCACCUGACGCCAAUGAGGAUGCUGCACCCGAAGCCAACACGACAACUGCUCCUGAAGCACCUGUUGUGCAGCCUGACUCCUCUGAUGUUGCCCCUGCUCCUAUUCCGCCACCAAGGCCUCACACUAUUGAGCAAGCAUACGAUCACGGUCAGCUUGUCACUGUCCGAUGGCCCGUUCUGGUGCCUCCGCCUUCUGCCUCAGGACCCCAAUUUGACUAUCAUGUUGAGCAUCGGCCUCAUGUCCAGAAGCCAAAGCCCAAGUUGCCAAGGUUUCCAGGUACUGCCAACUCCCCCGGGUCCUUCAAUGCCAAUGGCUUCAAAAGCCACAAUACCUUCUUUGACAGCGCCAAGAACCCAUACUCCAAGCCAAGAAUUUCAUCAGAUCAGUUCUGGAGCUAUCAGCAGAGAAGCUAUUACUCAUGCGUGCUAUAUGAUCAAGGGCGCAUUUUCCCUCAUAUGCGUCUUGACACUGAAGCUAUUGCUAGACUGCCGUGCUUGGAAGAAGCACUUGAUUGCUUUCGUGAUGCUGGUCUGCUCCACUUUGUGACAGACAAGGAACAUUGGAAUGAAGAGCUAUUGCUUCAAUUCUAUGCCACUCUGCACAUUCGCGGCUACAACAGAGACAUCAAGACUUGGGUUCUCGAGUGGAUGACUGGAAAUGUUCAUCAUGAAGCCAAAGCUAUGGAUAUCAUCGAGCUUACUGGGCUAGCCACUCCUGGAGAACUAUGUGAGCCUCACUGUCAGCUACACCGCAAUGCUGUGGAGAGCAUCUUUCACAAGCCCGAACCCAAUAUGAGCCAGAUGCUGAGCAUGAUGAAGCCUUUGCCGUCUGACGCUGAGUAUCCCACCCAAUUUUUUGUUGAAGACCUUGAGUAUCUGCCUCGCACCAUAUAUCAUAUUAUCAGGCGAACUCUAUGGCCAGUCAAGGGACACUCAUCAUCGGCCAAGCUUGAAGGAGCUAUGAAGACAUUGGUCUUCUAUAUUCUCAAUGGCAUCAGCUUCAACAUUCAGGAAUUCUUCAUAAGGCAACUUGCUGCUUCCGGCUCUGACCUAUUUGGUCUGAAGUUUUAUGCUCCAUGGGUCAUGCGCCUCAUCAAGCGACACUCAUGUGUCAAUUAUCAGCCCUCUGCUCGCAAUCACAUAAUAUUUCUGCCCGAGGUUGAUAUGUCAGUUGAUGCUGUAUACUCUAACCCUGCCAAGACACCACUUUGUCUUCAGAACAUCGAGCACCAAAGCUUCACUCAGCCUAUUGAAGGUGUUCAAGCAGCAACAAGAUUCUAUCCACUUGCUGGUAACACCCGUCUGCCUCACAGAGUGCCAACUGAAGCCACUGAAAGCACCAUUGCGCAAAGGCCUCGGAAGCGUUCUCGUGUUCUCAAUGACCGAGAGCUUCUUAUGGCUCUUCAUCAGAAGCAAGAUAAGCAUCAUUUCUGGCUCAAGCGCCAAAUGCAAAGCCUCUUGGUGGAUGUCAAUCGCAUUCGCAACCUUGCCACUAAGAAUGCCUUUGUUGCUCAUGAAACUUGCCGAAGAUCAUGGAAGAGUUUGACUCUGCUCAGUGCUGAAGCUGAUCUUCAAGAUGAUGGCUUCAAUGAAAGAUUCCAGUUCGACUCCACUCCUCCAAGGACUGCUACCCUGCGUCGAACUCCAUCUCUUGAAGACUCUGAAUAUUCCUCUUCCGCGGCAAUAGUUAAUGCCCGCGCAAGAUCAAGAAUCAAUGGUGGUUGAUCUUUCUGCUCAGCCCAGUUCUGCUACGGAUCUGGUUCAGCCUGUUAUUGUCGUGGAUGAUCUGCCUGACGACCCUGCUCUACCUUUGGUUAAUGAGGAUGCUGUUAACAACUGGGCCAUUGUUCUCUAUCAGCCUCCUGCUUUCAGGGAGGAGAUUGUUCUGCCUGCGGUUCCUUUUGGGCCUCCUCUGCCUCCGGAUAUGAUCUGGAGGAGAUCAUUUGAGAAGCUUUUGCAGGCUCCUGUGGCGUUCUCAGUUCCAAGGCCAGUUCUGCUGCAACCUCUUUCACCGGUUAUUCUGUCUAAGCGGAGUUGGGAUAUGGCUUUCAGUGAGAAUGAUCUGCCAUGUCUUACAUGGAGGGAUCAAGAGCAAGCAAGGCCGGUUGCCAGGGCGCUUUUUUCUAAUAAUUUUGAUGUUCAACCAGUGCAGGUUCCACCCCCUCCUGCUGCGGUGGUUAAAGCUCGCAGGCCACGCAAAACCUUGGCGCCAACUCCAAUAGUUCACACCGCAGUACGGCGCUGCACUAGAAGCUCAAUUCAGUGUGAUGGUUUCAAGCCCACCUUCCAGGAGCUCGCCCUGCAGCCCAAGAGAAAGAAGCCCAAGGCUAAGCCCUUCACGGCCCAGAUGCAUGAUGACCCUGCUUCUGAAGGAAUUCCACCUGCAACUCCUGUCAGUCGACUCCAAGAAGUUGGUCGUCAGCUAGAAAUUGACGCUGCUCUAUUAUCUGAGGAUGCACUUAUGGUGGAUCCAACUGCUGCUGCCUCGCCUAAACAUGAUGAUUAGUUUAAUCAUGCUCUUUUGGGUUUCGCAAGCCCUUAAAUAUGCUUUAUCUUUGUCUGUAGGCAGUAUGCUGCUACUUGUUCUCUGGUGUGUGUUGAUGUUGGGUCAGACUGGUUUCUGUUUCUUUUGGACAUGUGGUAUUGCGUACCAUGUGGGUUAUGGACUUAAUCUUAUAUUGUAAUGAGUAACAUUUGUAGGAACUGGAAUGUUCUUUGCUGGAAUGUCAGAGGUCUCAAUUCUGAAACUAGACAGAGGGCUGUUAGGCAGAAAAUUGAUGAAAGCCAAUGCUCAAUCGCCUGCCUACAAGAAACCAAAUGUGCAUCUUUUGAUUAUAGAUCAAUUAAAUCUUUCUGCCCUAAAAGAUUUGACUCAUUUGUGUGUUCUCCCUCUAUUGGUGCUUCUGGAGGAAUUAUAGUGGUCUGGAAUUCUUCUGUUUUUAGUGGCAUUGUAAUUGAAGUACAUCAGUUUGCUGUAAUUGUUCAGUUCACUUCCAGGCAGAACAAUGAUUCUUGGACUCUUGUUGCAGUCUAUGGCCCUUGUAGGGGUGAAGCCAGGGACCAAUUUGUCAAUUGGUUAUACAACUUGACUAUUCCUCUCAAUGAGCACUGGUUGUUAUUUGGUGACUUUAAUUUCCUUCGGUCAGUGGAUAACAGAAACUUGCCUAGUGGGGACAUAAAUGACAUGUUCAUUUUUAAUGGAUUAUUGGCCACCUGGGCCUUCUUGAGCUUCCAAUCAAGGGCAGAUCUUACACAUGGUCUAAUAUGCAAGAUAUCCCACUUCUUGAGCAGCUAGAUUGGUUCUUUACUUCUGUGGAUUGGAUUUCUGAUUAUCCUAUGACUGAAGUUUUGCCCCUGGCCAGGACUGCCUCAGAUCAUGUGCCUUGUUUAGUCACCAUCAAGACUUCCAUUCCAAAAUCAAACCUCUUUAUGUUUGAAAAUUAUUGGAUUGAGCUUGAUGGCUUCAUGGACUGUGUUGAAUCUUCUUGGAAGCAACCCUCUCAGAAAGCACAUGUUACUGCUAGGAUUGCAGACAAACUUAAAAGCCUAAGAAUGUGCCUUAAAAGGUGGAAAAUGAAUGUUUCCAAACUGAGGUUGCUGAUCAGUAAAUGCAAUCAUGUUAUUUUCCUCUUAGAUGAAUUGGAAGAAUGGAGGCCUCUUUAUAUUCAGGAGAAUAACUUCAGAAAAAUUGUAAAAAAUCAUUUGGAAAAGCUCCUGCACCUGCAAUUUCUUUACUGGAAAAAGAGAUGCACCAUCAGAUACUUCAAGGUGGGAGGUGAGAACACCAAGUUCUUCCAUGCUAUGGCCACUGAGAGGCAUAGGAGGAACUCCAUAGCUAGUCUGAAGCUACCUGAUGGAUCUGUUGUCUCUGAUCACUCUCAAAUGGCUGGAAUUGUUUGGAGCUGUUUUAAGAAUAGAAUGGGCACUUCUAGAGGGAUUAAUAUGGGGUUUGAUCUGUCCUCACUUAUUUCACCAGUGGAUGGCCUUGAUGUGCUCACUAAGCCUUUUAUAAAAGAGGAGAUGGACAGUGUUGUCAAACAUAUGCCUGUUGAUAAGGCACCUGGACCUGAUGGUUUCAAUGGUUUGUUUUUUAAAAAAUGUUGGCAUCUUAUCUCUCAGGAUUUUUAUGAGCUAGCUCAGGCUUUUUAUGAUGGCACUGCUGUUUUAGAAAACAUUAACAGCUCCUAUAUCACUCUUGUGCCCAAGAAGUUAGCACCUGAAGAAAUAGGAGACUACAGGCCUAUCUCUCUUACUGGUAUGGGGAUUAAAUUUAUGUCAAAAAUGGCUGCAAAUAGAUUUCAAGAUGUGAUUAUGCAGUGCAUUCAUAAGAAUCAAUAUGGUUUCAUUGAGUCCAGAACAAUCCAGGAUUGCCUUGGGUGGACAUUUGAAUAUUUGCACCAAUGUCAUCAGUCUAAGAGGCCCAUUGUCAUUCUCAAAUUGGACUUUGAGAAGGCUUUUGACUCUGUUGAGCAUGAGGCUAUCUUCCAAAUCCUAAGGUUUAAGGGCUUGAAUGAUAAGUGGAUUCUUUGGAUGAAGCAGUUCCUGGCCUCUUGCACAUCAUCUGUUUUGCUUAAUGGGGUUCCUGGGAGGAAAUUUGUUUGCAAAAAAGGGGUUAGGAAGGAUGACCCUGUAUCCCCUCUGCUUUUUGUUAUUGCUGCAGAUCUGCUCCAAACAGUGAUCAAUGACAUGUUCAGAAGAGGAAUUCUUCACCUACCUAUACCUUGCCAUGAUGCAGAUUAUCCUGUGAUUCAAUAUGCUGAUGAUACAUUGAUCAUACUACCUGCUGACAGAGCCCAACUCCUGGCUUUGAAGGAUAUGUUAAAGGUUUUCUCUCAGUCGAUUGGUCUGGAUGUCAAUUACCAUAAGUCUUUUAUUAUCCCAAUCAAUGUUGAGUCUGCUGUCAUGGAAGAUUUGGCAACUGCUUUUGGUUGCAAAAUUGGAAAAAUGCCAUUUACAUACCUUGGAUUGCUUGUGGGGACCACAAGGCCCAAAAUGGUGGAUUUCAUGCCUUUGGUGGACUGUAUGGAAAGAAGAAUGACUGCCAGUUCUUCUUUCCUUAACCAAGGUGAAAGCUUGCAGUUCCUUAACUCUGCUCUUUCUUCAAUGCCAAUAUUCUUCCUGUGUAGCCUUGCUCUGCCAGCAGGUAUUCUCAAGCAGCUUGAAAGAAUUCAAAGACAGUGUCUGUGGAGAAAGCAUAGGGAUCAGCCAACACCUUCUCUUGCUGCUUGGAACCUAAUUUGCAGGCCAAAAAACAAAGGAGGACUAGGCAUUCUUAAUCUGGGAGUUCAGAAUGUGGCUCUCCUUCUCAAGCAUGUUAAUAACUUUCUGAAUAAACGAGAUAUCCCUUGGGUGUCCUUAGUCUGGAAUUCAUAUUAUUUCAAAAGAAUGCCCCAGGUAACAACUGAAUGUGGAUCCUUCUGGUGGAGAGAUAUCUGUAAAGUCAUGCCGCACUUCAGAGACUUCUCCUGGGUUCAAAUUAAUGAAGGGGACACUUCCCUUUUUUGGGCUGAUAAUUGGAACCUUGAUAACACAGCGUCUAGUCUGCAAACAAGAUUCCCAAGGCUCUACUCUUUUGCCAAGGAUCCCUGGAUCUCAGUUAAGGAAUCUUUCAAUACCCAGGAUAUGCAUCAACUCUUUCACCUACCCUUAUCUGCUCAGGCAUUUGAUGAGUUGAACCAGAUUUAGGAAUUGGUGAAUUCCCACAGCAGAGAAUCAAGUUUGACAGAUGUUUGGUUCUGCCAAGGAUCUACCAAGUUUUUCAAACCCAAGAUGUUCUACUCACACACUUUUGUGUCUGAAUCCUUCAAUCCUUUGCUAUGUGGGGUCUGGAAAUCCUCUUGUACCCUCAAGAUCAAGGUUUUUGCAUGGAUGCUUAUUAUGGACAGGUUGAACACCAAGGACAUGGUUGAGAGAAGGCACUGGCACAUGGAUGAUGGGGUCCAUUGUAGGCUUUGUCCCUUGCAGGUUAGAGAAACCAGAGAUCACAUGUUCUUCAACUGCAAUUUCAGUGUCAGGGUCUGGAAUUAUCUGCAGAUUGACUGGUCUACUGGAACCUCCAUGAUGCAGCAGGUUGCUCAGGCCAGAAGGAGUUUUGAUAAGCCCUUUUUCUCUGAAGUGGUUUUCAUUGCUUGCUGGAAUAUUUGGAUCAUCAGAAAUGCCAAAGUUUUCAGAAAUGAGAGAGCUAGUUUCAAUAAAUGGAGGUUUGCUUUUAAGCAUGAUAUUAGCCUGAUGCAGCACAGAAUCAAAUCUGUCUACAAGGAUGAUCUGCUUAGAUGGAUCUCUUUUCUCCCACCUUAAGCUAGUUUUUGUAAGCCCCACUUUUUCUUCUGUUACCUUGUACCCUGGUUACUCCUUGUAAUCACCCUGUUGUAUUACUUAUCCUCUUUUUCAAUAAAGUUUUGAUAUGCUGUGGGGGUUUUGCCCCACAGUUCCAGUAAAAAAAACAGUUAAUGCCAGAGUGAUCGAUGAUGAAGAUGACGCUACUUCACCACCUCCGACUACAACUGUGCGCAUCGACACUGCACCAAGUUCGUCUGCACCGCCAACCAACGACAACGACCCAACUGCUUCUCCUACUCAUGACGAGUAGAUGCUCUAUGUCUUCAAACCUUUUUGGUCAUUACUGACAAAAGGGGGAGAAGCGUAUGAGUUAAUAGUCUUCAAGCGGGUUCAUAUGGGCGGUUGCAUUAUAUUUUGCUGCAUGCUUACAACUCUUGCAUUUUGAAACAUUUGGUUCUUUGAGUUGUAACACCAUAAACUUGAUGGUCGUCUUCUACUUCUGCUACUUGUUUGCUUUACUAUGAUGCGAUGAUAAAUUCCGCAUGUGUGACGAUAACUUCCACACUUAGAUCAUUCUGCAGACGUCCAUUUUUCAUUAUGCAUGUCAUAUUACUUGCUAUAUCAUUUCAUGCAUGACGAAUUAGCUUCAUAAGUUGAAGUGGAUCUCCACAAGUACAACCUGCCAUGUGCAUUUGCAAUCCAAAAGCAAAUUACUUAUAUGCACAUCUUCAGGGGGAGCCCUUGCAACUUAUGAAGACAAUUCCCUAUCCUUACAAUUUCACAUACUUUAUCCCCGUUGAAAACUUCAACCAGUUUGUCAUCAAUCACCAAAAAGGGGGAGAUUGUAAGUGCAUCUAGUGCCACCCCUAGUUAGUUUUGGAGUAUUGACGACAAAGUUGGUUGAGGGACUAAUGCGUUUGUAAGAAUUGCAGGAUAACGCAGGUAGUGUCCCCCAUUGAUUCGGUUUACCUACCGGAGAUGACCCCUAAAAAUGUAUGAAGACAAUGAAGACAAUGGUGGUAUGAGAAGAUAUUCACAUUGAAGACUAUGACAUGAGAAGACAUUGCGUGAAGACCUUGGAGCGUGAAGACUGUGUGGUUUCGUUGUUUCCUUUUCUUCUUUGUUGAGUCAUAGUGAUGCGGAGCAUCCUUCCACCAUCCCCAUGGACUCUACAUCGACACAUCUAACCCCACAAGGACCUAUGACUCGAGCACGUGCAAGAGCUCUCGAAACCGAGGUGACAUCACUCCUAUCACAACUCUCCUUUGAUUCACAUGAGACAUGGUUGCUACCUCAAACGGAAACUCUAUGCAUACUCAAGUACCAAGGAGUCAACCAUGAAGAGGCUAGGAAUCAAGGAGAACCGGAAGCGGAAGACAUGCAUGAAGACGGAGAGGAGAAAGCAACAAGGACCAGAGAGUUCGGACGAUCCGUACGGAGGCCCGAACGAUCCGAACAGAGCCCGGAUGAUCCGGACCCCGGUCCGUACGAUCCGGCUAAUUCCACCGAAGGCAACAGAAGCUCCCUCCCGAAGCCGGAUCAUCCGGACCCCGUCCCGGAUCAUCCGGACCCUACCCGGACGUUCGGACCGUCAGUCGGACAUCCGGCCCUGCGCCGCCACCAGCCGGGCACCCGGACCAUCCGGGCCUCCACCCGGAUCAUCCGGACCAGCCCGGAUCAUCCGGACCCCCGUCCGGAUCAUCCAGCCAGCGCCUGUGUGCGCGUGUUGGGCUGAGCCCAUGUACCCCUUCGCCCCAAACUCUAUAUAUAGGACCCCAUCUCCUCACUUUGAGACUUAGCAUUGGAUUAGCUCAUAUUUGUGUGAGAGCCUUUGCUCAUCCACUCGGUUACUUCUCCUUGGAGAUCAGGACCUCCGUCUAGGAGAAGAUCCCUCAGCGGAUUCAAGACCCCUAUCUAGGGAAGAACAUCAAGGCCUCCUCUUGGAGAUGAACGGUUCCUUUGUAUCCUUACCCUAGUUGACUAUGUAUCUUGUGGAUCUCAUGUGUGUAUGUUGAUCUAGCACUUGUGUGAUCGAUUCCUUGUUGGUUGAGUGAUUCUCUCUCGUUUUCCCCGUGUUUCCCCUCGUGCUUCCGCGUGUUCUUCGUGUUUCCUCCGUAGGAUCCCCUCCAAACGUGAAAGAUCAACGAAUUAGGGUUCCACCCUACAUCAUAUGGUAUCAUGAGCCACGUUGAUCACGUUUUUGGAGCCCCUACCCCGUGAUUUCUAGCUUGAUUUUGUUGUUUUCGUCCUAAAAAUCUGAAAAUCCCCACAAAAAUACCCCCAAUUUUUUUUGUGAUUUGUUGGUUUUGAUGAUGUUUUGUUGUUUUUGAUCCGUGGAUUCGGUGUGUAACUCGUGGAUCUUGCUUUUCCCCACCUUCUCCCCCUCGAAAUCCACCCAAAAUCCCCGAAAUCGUCAAAUUUCUCCCCGUUUUCGUGUUCUUCCCGAGCAGUUCCCGUGCGUGGUUGACCUGCCCGGAUCAUCCGGACCAAGUCCCGGAUCAUCCGGACUCGCCCGGAUCAUCCGGCUCCUGGCCCGGAUCAUCCUGCUUCCUCUGCCGAAACUGCACUUGUGCAGUCCCCCAUCCACCACCACCACCAUCCAC